rnacentral:lncRNA from 1 species
GCCAUAGUUGUAAUUUGUGCAUGGUGUUUUUUUAAUUAAAUAGUCAAAUGUAUAUCUUUUGUGUAGAGCACCAAAGAAAUCCAAGAAGUAACAAUUAGCAUUUCCAGUAAACUAGAAAGAUGGUGAAUCUUUGAUGGUUCUAAGUUCUAGAAGUAUACACUCUCAUAUAUUAAUUGAAUUUAAUAAUGUAAGCUCAAUUUUCCCUUCAUAUCUUGGUUACUAUUUUUUAAUAUUUCUUCUAAUUCUCGCUUCUUUGUUGAAAGUUCUGUAUUUUUAUUUUCUUUGCUAACCCCCACACUCACUCACUCUCGGCUCGCCAUCUUCAUUGUCUUUUUCAGUCUUCUGGUCUCAUUCUGCUUCCCCUCACUCCAUUUCAGCCGUUCUAGUCUCGUUCUUCUCUUGCUCGCCCUCACCGCGCACUACCCGUCCCUGGUUAUUGUUAAUUCUGGUAAGGUUUGUUCUGCUAGCUUUUUAUCCUGUGAUUUUUUUAAUUUUCAUGUGUAAUUUUCUUAAUUAAUGACAUUUGUAAUGUCUUGCUAUUUGUUAAGAUGUGGUUGUUAAAUACAUAAAUUGUGUAGUAUCUUUAGUAAAAUAUGCUAAAAAAUGCAAGAACUAUGAGAGGAAAAGGAAUGUCUUGUUACAGUUGAAAUUAGUUGUCUAACAGCUCUAAAAGUCAAGGUAUUGAUAUUGUUUUCAAUUUGUUAUUUUGAGUGUGUUCUGUUAAGAGUUCUUCAAAUUUGAGCAAUAUUGGCAAGGUGUGUGACUUUUCUCUGAUAAUGGAGAAACUGUUCUUCCAGCUCUGUUAUCUAUUUAUGUUGAUUACUUUUUUCUUCCUGUGAUUUUUUUGUAGUGAGGAGAAUGUAUAUUUACUUUGUAGGGUUGGGUUUAUUAUUCUUUAUAUCUUAAUAAGUGAAUGCUUUUCUUGUCUAUAUCUUAACAAGAACAUUCAUUAGGACUUCCAUCUCUGUUGUCAGAUCCUAGUGCUGAGACACCAGAGGAGGCAUUGAUAUACAUAUUUGGCGAAAUUAGAAGAACCACACCAUCAAUUCUCUAUUUACCACAAUUUGAUGUUUGGUGGAAAACUAUAAGUGCAUAUUUUAAUUAUUUGUAUGUUAAAUGGAAAUGAUCUCCCUGCCCAAAAUUUAUAUUUUUGUACGCAUGUGUUUACUUAUGUUGUGGGGCUGCUUCAAUGCUACUUGAGUUUGAUUGUUCUCGUAAUCCUGCAGGCUCAUGAACAACUCAGAGCUGUUCUCUUGACUUUGCUAGACGAAUUACCAUCUGACAUGCCUAUCCUUCUACUGGGAACAUCCUCAGUUGUGCUAGCUGAAGUUGAAGAUGUACCACAUUCAGUUUUCCCUCAUCGUUCAGUGUAUGUUUGAUCUAAUUCACAACAAAACACUAAUUUUUUAUAUGGAAUGUUCAUAGAGUUUAAGUGCUAUAAGUAUUUUUUUUUCUUUUCUCAUUUUAUUUGCAUCACGAAGCAAACUUGUACAAUGAUUAUUGAUUAAUGAAAGAGGCUAUAAAAAUUUUAUUUUGUAAAUUUGUGAAUUUAAUGAAAUAUUUCAUGUUGUAGUAAUUGAUUUUUAGUAUAUUUAUAUUGUGUAUAAUAUAAAAUAAAAAAUAGUAUAAUAUAACUAAAAAAAUGUUACUAAAGAUCUUUUGUAACAUUUUUAAGUGUUACAAAAAAUAUCUAUGGUAAUUUUUUUUAAGUGUUACAAAAAAUAUCUAUAGUAACAUUUUUCUAAGUGUUACAUAAAAUAUCUAUUGUAACAUUUUUUAAGUGUUACAAAAAUAUCUUUGGUAACAUUUUUUCAAGUGUUACAAAAUAUAUCUAUUGUAACAUUUCUUUAAGUGUUACCAAAAAAAGUCUAUUGUAACAUUUCUCAUAAUAUUACUAUAGAAGAUCUAUUGUAACAUUUUUACUAAAUGUUAUUAAAUCUUUAGAAAAAUGUUAGUAAAACUCUUUAGUAACAUAUGAUAUAUUUAACAUUUGUUAAAAUGUUACUAAUAUACAUAGGUAACAUUUUAAUAUAAUUUGGUAACAUUUUUUAAAUGUUAGUGAAAGUCAAAUAUGUAGUAGUGUGGAUUCAGAAAAAUUUCUUUAUAUGGCUUAGAUCUGUUUAUCUGCAAUGUUUCACCUAUCCUUUUAUAGACAUGUGAAAACGAUUUCUACCUUAGAUUUCCUUCUUUGACUACAACUUGAUUUACUUUCAACCUUAUCACAAUUUUUAUACGUUUCUUAUGUGAUUUCGCACCUGAGUAUUUUUCAAGAUUCUUGAGAGAAUAUUUUUGUUCAUAGUCCAACUAAAUUUUAUUUUUUAAACUUUGCAUAUUUUAUUUUAAUUUUGGUUGUUUUAAUACAAUACCUUAUGUAAACUUUUCGUAUUUCUUUUGAGAAAGUGAAUUCAUUUAUUCUUGAGAUUGUCCAUUCAAAUUGAUUUAUCAACGGUACCAUUGCCUUCUAGUAUUCUUUUUAACUCAGCUCAAAUUCGGUCUAAAUGAAUGCACCGUUCUUCUUCUUGAUUGUAACUACCGAAGUUCUUAGAUUCAAAUUCCUUCUUAAGAUUACAACUUGAUUUCCUAUCAACCUCGCUGUUGUUUUUAUGCAAAUUCUUAUUUGAUUAUAUACCUAAAGUAUCCUUUAAAAUUUUCGAGAAAAUAUUUUAUCUUUAGUCUAACUAAUUUUUAUUUCACAAAUCUUGCAUAAUCUAGUUCGAUUUGAAAUUGUUUUAACAUGACGCAAAAUUUACAUUUUUACUGAAUCUCUUGAAUUUUACAAACGACGUUCUUGAUUUUGGUCACUCUCUUCCUGUAAACCUUGUACCUUGAUUUAGUUUGAAUUCAAUUCUAACAAAUGCAUGAUUUAUUUCUCAUUGUCUUCAUUGAAGUACUUUAAACUUUCAAUACGUCCGCCUCUUAUUCGUAAAAUACUGUUUGAAUCUUUCAGAACGUCUGUCUUUGUCAUUAUACUUCUCUUCAUGAACCAUGUACUCUUUGACAUGACAUUGAAAUUGUUUUGGUAUGACACCGAUCCUUAGACCUUUGAAAAUAUUAAGUGCUCCUUUUAAUUAGGCAGUAUUGGCUUAUGCGUUCUAAUCGUGCCGUGCGAUUUGACAUGUCGUUUAUAUUGAACAUUCUUAUUUCAAUUUCUUUUCUUGAAAUUUAAUUUAGAUUUUUUUGCUUCACAAUUUGUACCUUAUGCAUAUCUUGAUCUGUUUACACUUCUGAUUAUGUUAAGACUCUUGGUUUUAUAUUUUACCACGAGCUAUGAAAUCCUUGGGAUAAACUGAAGUUGUUUCAUUGCGAUGCAUCACUAUUGUCUUUAACCAUUCUUCUUCUAUAAAAUCUCAUACUUCUUCGACUCAGCAUUGAAUCUGUUUCAAACUAAUGCGCUAUUUUUCUUUUUAUUGAUCCUAUCAAAUUUCUCUGAUUCAAGAGUUACCCUUGUAGUUGCCAAUUGAUUCCUUUUCGGCAAUCUUCAUUGCUUGUGUAUCCUUAUUUACCUGCAAUUUCAUUCAUUCUUUCAAAUCAUUAUGAGUGCUAUCUUUGUCGCUUGCUAUUCCUUUCUAAAAUGUUGUAUCCUUCUGAGUAAACUCGAGAUUUGUUUAAUGUCAUGUGCGAUCUUUAGAUAUGGCAAGUGAUACUUAGUUCUUAGGACACGGUUGGUGGAUCCGGAAGAUGAAGCUGGUAAGUGUGUGAUGUCACAAGAUGCUAUGGAAUUUUGUUUUACACGAAAGAGUUUUGUUGAUAUUAGGCUUGUAACCGGUAGUGAGCUUGCAAAAUGAUUGACAAGGUUGAGAACUUUCGGAUGAAUCGUUCGAUACAAGUACAAUUGGAAGUCGUGAUGGUGAGCUAUGUUAAAGUCCUUGGUGUUGACACCAUGCAACCUUUUUGUUUUGAACUUAUCUUGUAACUUUUGCCUUACACCACAUACUUCUCUUAUAUCCAAGUCUUAUGACUUAUCCAAUAUUUGAAAAUUUAUAUAUAUGGCAAAACUUCUUGCUUUUCUAAAUUAUUCGAAAGUAAAGUAUUAAAACUGUGUAAUAUAUUGUGUAUUAUUUUAAUUUUCGAGGACAGAAAUUUUCAUAAGGUGGGUAGGAUGUAAGACCCAGAAUUUUCGACAAAUAUUACUAUGAGUUAAUUCCAAUUUAUUUAUUUAUUAAAGACUUUAUUUUUAGAAAUUAUUUUAUUAAAAGUAAUUAAAUCAAGUUUUGAUAAUUAAAUUAAAAAAUUUAUUUAAUCUUAUAAUUAUUGAAUAAUUUUUUAUAUUUAAAUUAUACAACUUAACAGUUGUAAAAGAAUAAGAAUUUUAUAUGAUUUAGUUUAAAUAAUUGAGAUUAUUGGAAUCCACUAACCCUAACCCCUCACCGCCACUCACACUCACUGCCUCACCUUCGCUCACUCACUUACACGGUCUGAGAAAAGAAAGAAAGAAAGAAAGGAAAGAAAAAAAGAAAGAAGGAAGAAAGGGAAGAGAGAAAGGAGAAGCUCCUCGCCGCCGCGCCGCGCUGCUACUCUGCUGUCGUCGCGUUGCAACCGUUGUGUCGUCGUCAAGAUCGAACCGAAGAGAAGGAGGCAUGGAGGCAAAGUCGCACAAAGAGAGGAACGCAGAGGCGGAGCCGUUCGCCACUGUCGGACCUCCGUCCAACGAUCCAUCGUCGCUAAAGCUCAUCACCGCUGCUGUGUCAUCGUCGAGGAGCUUGAAGGGAGAUAGGAAGGCUGUCCCGCAGUCAUUGAGCUCGCCACCACCAUCCGUGGACCAUGAUGGAGCGUCGCCAUCGUCAAUGGUGGAGUGGGCUUCGCAGAGAGAGAGAGAGAGAGAGAGAGAGAGAGAGAGAGAGAGAAAUGCCCAAUAGGGGAGAGGAUGGGUCACUCCUGUUGUCAAUUUUUUGCCUUGGUUGCUUUCCGAACUGCACCGCCACCGUCGCGAGCUUCUGCCCCCGUUCAGCUCGUCGGAAAUCAUCACCGGAGCUGCAGCUGCUCCGUUCCUUGGUUCUUCUCUGAGUACAGUAAGCUAUCUUGCUUCAAAAACAUCUUUAAUCAGUUUUUCAUUAUAUAUUACUGAGGUUUCUGCGGCGUUUUUGUGAUAGGGUUGAAUUACGGUGAUUACAUGUCGUGUUUAGAGUUGUCGAUGUCGCUGCAAAGAUGAAAUGGAGUUGUGACUAUGGCUGCUUUUGCUACAGGCCGAGAGAAAAAAGUGUUUUGCGCAUUUUAUAGCUUUCGGAUUUGGACUAUUCGAGAUAGGGGCGCUUUUCUUAAACUUAUUUUACUUUCAAGAGUUGUUACAAGUCGUUAUUAAUGCGAAAGGUAUAUUUUUGUAAUUUCGUAAGUUUUAUGGAUUGGUUUAAGAUGUUAUGGACGAUUGUAAUUGUUUGUGGUUGAAUUAUUGAUCAUGUGAGAAAAUUGAAUAAUUUGGGUUACUGAAUGAUUUUUGUUAAAUUGUCGGUUGCCGAAUUGGUUUUCUUGAGAUUUGGAAAUGUUUUGAUAUUAGAAAUGAGUUUGAGUUAUUGAAAAGAGUUUGAGACAUUGGAUUUGGAUUGUUGAUUUAUCGAAAAAUAUUUUUGGAGAAUUGAAAAUGAUUUGAGAUAUAAAAAUUGGUUUGAUUUUGGAAAUGAUUUAAAGGAGUUUGAAGAAUGUUUGGAUAGGACUCAAAAAGGGUGGCAGAGUAUGAGUUUUAGAGGGAAUGCUGCCGGAAUUUUAUAAAAAUUAGAAAUUUUGUUUAGAUGGUUAUUUAAAAAGAUUUGGAUUUAACGGUUAUAAGGCUUGAUUUUGAGUUAUUAAGAAAAUAAUUACGUUUUGAGUUUGAAAUUAUUGAUGGAUGCAAUGGGAGGAAUGAUGAUGAUUGAAUUUGAAUGAAGGAUAAUGAGGAUUGAUUUUAAAGUAUGAUUUUUAAAUAAAUUGAAUGAUAUUGAUGAAUGAUGAUUGAGAUAUGCAUAUGGCUUAUGUAUUUGGAAUAUUUUAGACAUUAUUGACCCUCUGUACGUAAGAUGUGACCGGGCAUUUUAACUCUCCGGAUUCCUCCAUAGGCAUGCAUAUAUAUAUGAAUUGAGCUUGGAAUUUUCCCAUGGAAUAUAAAAUAAUUGAGCUUGGAGUUUGACUCCAUGGAAUAUUAUUGAGCUUGGAUUUUGACUCCAUAAAAUAUUAUAUUUGAGCUUGGAGUUUGAUUCCAUGGAUAUUAUUUUUGAGCUUGGGAAUGCACGUACAGAGGGACUGUCCAAUGGUUAGCUACCAGGACAUGUCGGGUUAGCUGUAUAACCGAUAGAUGAGCUCAUUAGCCAAAGGACAGGCAUGCAUAAUAUGCAUUUGUAUGCUUUUCUUGAGUUUGAAUUUGUUUUGGUUUGCCUAAUUGCUAAACUGUUAUUAACUGCUAUCUGAGCUAUUUGCUAUAACUGCUAUCUAUACCUGUGCUUUCCUUGUCUGUUUUGCCUGUGUUUGUUCUGAGUGGUACUUUUGAGAUUAUUGGUGAUGAGAUGAUGACUGUGUUGAUUGAUUAUGUGAUGGGCUGAAGGCUGUGAUUGGUUUUUGAUUGAGUUAUUUGUAAAGUAUGAAAAAUCAAGCUAGUUCAGCAUAGACUUAAUAAACUUAUGCUUGGAACAGGUUGGUCAUUCAUACAAUCUAGGAAACUGAUUGAGAUUUUUCUUAUAAGAAAGAAGUGUUUUGGAUUUCUGAAAAAUUAAAUAUUGUUUCUUUGAAAAGGUUUUGGAUGAUUAGCAGUUGGUUUUUAAAAAGAUUCAUAAGACGAGCGAUAAUCACUGCAAUCGAAAAAUAGUUUUCUUUUAAAUAUCCUCUUAUAACAAUUCUUAAACCCUCUAUUGAGAACCCUUUUAAGGACGAUGUUCUCACUCCCUUACAGAAUUUCUUUUUUAGUGACAGGUUCAGGAAGUUUUGGCACGAAGCUGCGAUCGAAUCCCGGAACUUUACGUAUAUAUAUGUUUUCAUUUUCUGUUUGAAUUAGUCUUAAACUUUAUUUUACCCCUCGUCAUUUGUCAUUUUGAGAUUUUAGAGGGGUAGGGCUUGUAUAUUAAGAAGUUUUGGAUAAGUCUAUGUAUUUAUUAUUAUGUGAAUAUGAUAUGUGACUGUGUGAUUUUAAAGUAAAGACUUUUCGAUUUCAUAAUAAAAGAUUCAGUUCGUAUUCGCGAAGGCUCAAUAUUAAAUAAAUAUAGUAUCAAAUUAAAGGAUUAGAGGUAAGUAACCCUGAACUUUUAGUACAAUCAUGAGGUGUUAAGAGCUUUGUCAUUCAGCUUUAUUUUUUGGUAUGUGGAAUAAAACAGUACAUCGGCGCUGCUGCCUGGGUCCAUAAGGACUUUUUUCACCAAUGGCUUGCCAACUUGUAGUGAUAUAACUACAAGAUCGUCCAAGUUUUUGUUCAUUACUUUGCAAUCCGAAGAGCUGAAUGUGACUUCUGAGAGACACAUUGGCGGUAUGGGUCGGUUCAAAGCUAGUGACUGACAUCAUGGUUCUAUAGGAUCUUUUUCUAGCCGAGUUGGUACAUCCUCCACCUGCGAAACCACCAGAAUUACAGUUAAUAAUUAUGUGAGGUGGGUUACGGUUUUCGUCUACCUUCUUUCCUUUGUCUCUGUCAUUGUCGCUUGGUUUAGUUUGUUGGCCGACGCUUUCUAUUUGUCGUCUUUGUCCUCGACUGUCAAUGCAUUUGUCUAGUAAGCCUUGACGGGCUAGCUUUUCGAGAAGGUCUUUUGCUAUAACGCAGUCAUCUGUGGUGUGUCCAUACCUUUGAUGAAAGGGACAAUAUUUGGGCUUGUCCACGUAUCGUUGGUCUUGGUAUGUCCCUGCUUUGUUUGGUGGUUUGAUCAACUUUGAGUGUAGGAUGUCCUUGAUAAUGUCUUCUCUCUUAGUGUUGAAAGGAGUGUAUGUAUCAAAUUUUGGUGUUAGUUUGAAAGGUUUUUGAUCGGUCUUAUUGCUCGGGUACUUGUUCUACUUUUCCUCUUCUCUGUUAAGGUUAGGCCUCUCUGUCUUCUGUAUUUGUCGAAGCUCCUCUAUUUCAAUUUGGCUUGUCGCCUUUUUAUGGAAUUCGGCCAAUGUCUUUGGCUUCAUGACAACUAUAAUCUCCUGGAAUUUUCCAAGGCAGAGUCCACUUUUCAGGGCAAGCAAGUGAACUUCUGGGUUGAUGUUAGGUAUCUCCAUGGUUGCCUUGGCGAACCUCGUCAUGUAGUCUUUGAGACUCUCAUGUUGUCCCUGCUUUAUGGUGCUGAGGUAAUUUGAGUCAUGCCCAUAGAUUUUUGACGCAGCAAAGUUGUUAACAAAAAGGUCGGCCAGCUUAUCUUAACUUAAUAUAGAACCUGCAAGCAAAUUGGAAAACCAUAUCAAGGCAGCACCAUCUAAAAAGGUAGGAAAUGUACGACAGAGUAUUGGAUCGGAUGCACCGUUCAUAAACAUCAUUGUGUAAAACUUGGUGACAUGUAUGUUGGGCUCGUCAAUUCCUUCAUAAGGUUUCAGUGUUGUUGGUAAGGUGAAGUUUUUAGGCAUUUGGAAGUUCAUGAUGCCUUUGCUUUGGCUGUUUUGCUUCUGACGUAAUAAGUCGACCAUCCUUUGAUUUUCUACUCGUAGGAAUUCGUUAAUGGCCAAUAGUUCAGCUUGAGUAGGGGGGAGGAGGGGUUGCUUGGCUCGUCCGCUAUAUGUUGUGACCUGCAAAAAGAUGGUGACAAUAGGGUAGGAGAGAUGAGAGUGGGGUUAGUUGUAAAACUUGGGCCCCACUGUGGGUGCCAAAUGUUCCUGUGUGAGUAACCGGCUCUAAGGUAUAACUCGCCCUGCUCCUCAGGCUAGAUGAGAUAUACGUUGACUCUUCUAAGAACAGCGACAGUGGGUACCUGCAAAGAGAUUCCAACGCUCAAGUUAGAGAGAGUAUAAGAUGGUAUACAUAGCUGUUUCUUCUCAAGAGUGAAUAACGUACCUUUUUCUUCUCAAGAGUUUGUGUAUACAUAGCUGUUUGUGUUAAGAAUGGUUUUUGAUAUUCUCGAAAGUGCUAUAAGGAUGUUAUCCUAAUUAUGUGGUAACUGUUUCUGAAUGAUAGUUGACUGUGUAGAUUAAGUCCGUUAUGAGGGUUUAACUUUAACCACGUGUUUUACUCAGAUUCCAUGUGGUUUGUUAUGUUUGUUUACUAUAAUUUCGGUUUAUAAGUAGGCUCGGGUUGGGUUUAUAAGUAACGAGAUCAAUUACAUAUUUAUAAUAUUUAGAUGAUUUUUUUUUUAUAUUUUUUCAAGGUUUUUUGAAUUUUAUUUUCAAUCGGAUACCCAAUUACUUGAACCGAUUCAAUCCGGAGUUAAUCGGUUUAGAUUAGUUCAGGUUCACUCACUAAAAAUCAUAAAUCCGAACCAAUUAAAAUUUAAUCAGUUCGAUUAUCAUGUUCUUUUAAAUUCGAACUAACUCAAGCUGUAAACACCCCUAAAUAACUCUGUAUUUACAGGAGGACAAUUCCAUUUUACUUAGAAAAAAUCCUCUCUGAUAAUAUUUUCAAUUCAAAUUACAUACACUUUAUUCAUACACCUGCUGACUUUUAUCUCGAAGUCUCUUUUAACUGCUCCUAACCAUUUUUUUGUGCAUUAUUUAAGUUUCAAGUAGUUUGCAUUCUAAGCCGAUCAUCUUCACUCUCUAAGGUAACAUCUCAAAUCAAAAAAUGUAUUUUACUAAAAUAAAAAGUUAUGAAUUCAAUACGAUAAAAAAUAUUAAAAAAAAAUUGUACUCAAACUUUUUUUAUUGUUUUUUUAAAUAUAAUAUAGACAAGAGAAAGAUUUACUAAUUUUUUUAAUAUUGGAUAAAGAAGUAUAAUUUACGUUAAUACUGGGUUAUUUUGAUUAGAUACGUUAAUACAAGGGUAGUUAAGUGAAACUAAAAUCGAUCUUGCAAAAAAAAUUAUGACUCACGAUUUUACAGAGGACAAAAAUAUAAUUUUUUUCAAAAAGCAAAUUGUUAGUGUAAUACGAAUUUACAGAGAAAUUUUAACAAUUUCAUGCAGUAUAAAAAGGAACAAAUAAAACACAAUUAACAAUUUCUAUUAAUAUAAAGAGACAUGCUACACAUACAAGUCUUUUUGACAUACAAGUUUAUACAAGUUAAUCCUAAUUUAAUAAAAUCUACUUUUUAAUACAAGAAAAAAAAUGAAGAGUUUUGAAUUAUAUAGAACUUAUCAAUACACAUAUAUAAAAAAUUUUUAAACAAUACAAUAUAAAUGACUUGUAUGGACUUAUAUGUGUAAAUGACUUGUAUGUAGAGAAUAAUCCUAAUAUAAAACUAGUUCUCGUAUCUGUGCAUUAGUAUAUUACACAAUUUUAUCACUAUUUAUCGGUAUUACAUCAAUCUUAUCAUCAUAUUAAAAAAAUUAUGUACUUUUAAGCUAAAGAAGAAUUUACUAGAAAUAAAAUAACUAAAAUUGGAAGAACGAAUACAUUACAUUUUUUCCAAGAAUAAUUAAAAAAAUUAGGUAAACAAUUUGACCUUAACAGAUUUUUGAAAGUACAUGUUAUCAUACAAUAAAAUUAAUCUUUAGAAUUCUCAUGUCUUUAUUAUUAUACUAGUAUUUUUAUCUAUAAUAAUAUUACGAGAAUAUAAAUUUUUAAAAAUUAUAUCAAUUUUAAUAUUAUAGAUUAUUAUGACACAAAAUUUAUAANNNNNNNNNNNNNNNNNNNNNNNNNNNNNNNNNNNNNNNNNNNNNNNNNNNNNNNNNNNNNNNNNNNNNNNNNNNNNNNNNNNNNNNNNNNNNNNNNNNNNNNNNNNNNNNNNNNNNNGACAACGCUGGAAAAUCUUCCAAGUCUCUUAGCAAAGUUUUCCUCUCUCCCGUUCGCGUUUUCAUCUUUGAUUCGAAGCACAACCAACUCACACACAGAGACUCACGUUCAAUCCGACGUCGUUUCUUUCCUUCCUUCUCUUCGAUCCCCUCAGUGCCUGACCCUAUUCCUCACUCUCUCAGGUUCCUCCUUUUUUAUUUAUUUUACUUCAUUUCUUAUUUUUUUUUUCGUAAUUAAGCUUGUAAUUUUCCAAAAUCCAUGAUAUGGCAUAUUUAGGGUCUAAUAAUUAACAGGUUCAUGCUUAUUUUCUUUGUAUUUUCUCCCUUUUUUCAAUAAUUUAUUUAUUUAUUUUGCUCAAAUCAUAGUGGUUGCAACUGUCUCUGCGUUAGUCUAUUAGCAUGUUGGAUCUUAAUCUCUAUUCGAUUUAGAGGAAAAUUAUUGUUAUGCAAAGAGGUUAAACCUCGAGGACUUCAUAGAUGUUGAAAAUAUUCAAACUUUAAGUCAUGGAGUUUGGUUUGAUUGCUGUUUAGUUCUGUUGUUCAAGUUAACUGUAGAUGUUGAAUGAGUUGACUUCGAUUCUUUGUUGUUGUAAUCAUAUUCAUCCUGGUUUUCGAUUUAUUUUGAUUGGAUUUUGUGUUUCUGAUCCUUAAUUUUAUUGUCUUAACUGGAAAUUCAAGGCACCUUUGGAAAACUGAAGAGUAAGUUAAAAAUGGCAAGGAUCAAGCCUCAGGCUCUUCUGCAACAAAGCAAAAGGAAGAAGGGGCCUUCUCGCAUAAGUGCCACCACUAUUGUGUUUUACAUGUUGAUUCUUGCCUUGAUUGGGUUUUUCCUCUUCGCUACGUAUAGAUAUUGGUCUAACAGGUUAGUAGAAGAAUUUCUGUUUCUAUCUCUGAAGACAGGUUCAUAGGGUGGUGUGGGGACUGCUAUGUCAUAUGUAUUUGUUAAAAGUUGAUACAUAGCGAAGUUGAGAUCUAGUUUUGCAUCAGUCUUGUGACUGAUGAUGUUUAAAUGCUUCUGUUAUGAGAUAGUGGGAUGUCUGAAAAUCUUACUUUGUUGCUAGAGGAUUCAUUUCACCAAUGUCGUGAUUGAACCCUCUACAUAUCUUUUGGUGAUUGAACCUUUAGCUUAAUUCUGAUGUCACUCUAGUCUAUGCUGUCUGUCUUAGGCAGUUUUGAAGUUUAAUAGGUGCUUUCCACUUUCCAUCAAUCAUUUUGAAGUGAUUUUCUUUCUUAAGAAGACGAGUUUAAAUGGAAUAAGCUUUGGUAAUAAGAUUUUAGAUAAGUCAUUUCUCAGGGACGAUGAGCAUCAUCUUUUACCUAACAAUUCAAUAUUACUGUCAUUCAGGUCAAGAUUUCGAUCACAGAAUCAAUUGGCAGUUUCAGAGGUACAUCCUUAAAUGCAUCAUUGGGAGGCGUUUUCAGAAUUUCAUUCCUUUUAUAUUUGCUUGUUACCUGAUAAUCUUGCCAACUGUAUGUUCAUUUCAUUUGAAUGCAUACAUUAUUGUAUUUGGGUUUUCCCAUUGAGAAUGUUAAUACCUUUUGCUUUUAUGGAUAGAAUCAUUGUUUCUAAUUUAAACUACCUGUUGGCAGCAUGAAACUUCGUAUGCAGACUCGAAGAAAUCCGAGAUACCUGGAUAUGCUGUAAGUUUUGUUCACCUAGCUGCAGUAAUUCCUUUUAUUUGUUUUUUUUUUUUUGGAACUAUUUUUUAGUUAAUUGAAAUUCCCAUAUGAAACUGUUAUCUCAUAACUUGGCCUCCGUUUUCUUUGUGAUUAUAGGUUUUAGAUACCUCUAAAGGCUCAAUAAUAGUAGAACUGAACAAGGAUAAUUCUCCUGAGGCUGUUGAUGAAUUCAUUGACUUAUGGUGAGUACUUGUUUUUCCUACGAAAUUCAUAAUUUGAAGGCUGUUGAAUGGUUUGGGGUUUGACUUUUGCAAACUUUUCUUUUCCUGUCAUUCCCCUUGGUGGAGUGAAGAAAAUUGGUAUAGCAUCUAAUAUCUAUAGUAUAAUCUCACCUUAUAGUGGUUUGGGCAUGAGUACCCAAUUAAGAGUAUAUCAGAAAUUGAGAGACGAUACCUUAACAGUUAGAGGUAGAAGAUAAAUAGGAAAAAGGCUAUAAGUAAAAUCAUUUAAAAAAGAUUUAGAUUUUAAUGGUUUGACUGUAAACGUGAUUUAUGAUAUGGUGUUACGGUGUUUAUGGGAUUGUGUAGCCAAUCCCAUCUAGUAGUUGAACAAGGCUCAAUUGUUCUUGUUAUUAAUUUUCAGUCGUAAGUGGAUUACAGCAUUUGUCACCUUGUUUAAAAACAUUAGUUUCUGUGGAAAUAACACUGCUUAUUAUUUAUCAAUGGAAGUCUAAACAGAUCUAUGCAAAGCAUGAACUGGGCAAAUUUUCCUUAAGUGGACCUUGUUUUUGCUUCCAACAAGGAUUAAUACUUUAUAUGCUACUUUGCAGUCAAAAGGGGCAUUUCAAAGGGAUGCUGUUUCACCGAGUAAUUAAGCACUAUGUGAUUCAGGCUGGGGAUAACCAAGGAGCAGGAGCUACUGAAGAUUGGAACUUGAGGGGAAAGCAACCCACAAGGUUUUUCUAAUUCUUUUGGCAUUUUGCUUUAGCUAUUUAAAGUUUUCGAUAACCAAUGGCAUAGUUUUUCUAAUUAAUAGAUAUUAUAAUAAUUAUGUAGUGUGAAACAUGAAGCAUUCAUGCUUGGAACUUCCAAGGGCAAGCACACCAACAAAGGAUUUGAUCUUUUCAUUACGACUGCACCGAUACCAGAUCUGAAUGAGAAGCUUAUUGUGUUUGGGCGAGUCGUCAAGGGAGAGGAUGUUGUUCAGGUGACUGAAAUUUGCUUCUCAUUGUUAUGUCUAUGUCCUUUUUGUUGAUCAUUAUCUUUUCCCAUUUAGUUAAGGUUUUCUACACAUUAUCAUAUAUGAGAAGUUAACGAUUACCCUUUUUAUCGCCAAAUUUAAACAAAUAAUAAACUUCAAAUUGUGUUGUUCACUGCAGAUAUUUGUUAAAAUUUCAUUUCACCAUCUGUAUAGAUAAGUUAAUAUUCUGACUUGAUUUUGUGUUUUGGAAUGAAAUUCCAUCAAAGCAAUUUCAAUAUUAGUUAUUUCACUUAUAAUCUUUCUUAUUUCUGAGAAAUAAUGAUUUAAUGCCGGCAACCUGUGCAAAAUCAACCAUAGAUUUCAUUAUUAAGCUUCAUAUUCAAUGUUACAUUACCCUGUGCCAGGAAAUUGAAGAAGUGGAUACAGAUGAACAUUACAAACCUAAAGUCUCUAUUGGGAUACUUGAUGUCACUCUUAAACAGAAGAUCUGAAGGCUGAUUGAUAGAUGAGGAGCAUAAUGAUGUCUCAUAUUCACGCUGAUUAACCGGUUUCGAUAUGGUCAAAUCUUUUCUACAGGGACGAUGAACAUAGCGGAUUUUACCUGGGGGGGGUUCAUCAAUCAAGUGUUUUGAGCCUUGAUGUUGUUUUUGCCAUUGCAUGUGUAGUUGUUAACAAAAGGGAUUAUGCAAUCUCCUUUCCUUACCUCACUUAUGUCAAUUUUCUUUUCUAUUAUCUUCCUUUCUUUUUACCUAUUAUUUUCCCCCUAUUUUGUAAUUGAGGAUGGGGUGUGGGAAGGUUUUGCAGUUUCUUGUAAGGUUUGGGUUUAGGGGGUUUUUAAUUUUUUUUUUUUAAUUUUUAUUUGGGAUUACUCUUCAUUACUCGUUAGUGACCCGAAUGAAAUUACAAAAUCAUUUUGCUUUUUGCUUUGCCUUAUUAUGCAAUUCAUGUAUCUUCUAUGUUUCAAUUGAUGCCCAAUUUUGAUGAGAAGCCAUUAUGCUUAGCUUUGCGUCAUUUACCUCAUNNNNNNNNNNNNNNNNNNNNNNNNNNNNNNNNNNNNNNNNNNNNNNNNNNNNNNNNNNNNNNNNNNNNNNNNNNNNNNNNNNNNNNNNNNNUUGUUUCUUUUACUUGAUUGAUGCUUAGGUUCCAUUUGCUUAGGAAUUCAGCAACAAGCUAUAAUAAUUCAGAGCAUUGUAAUUAUAUUGAAAAUAAAAGUAUAUAAAGCUUUUGAAAAAGAUCUGCAAAGGGUAAUGUCUUUUCUAUUGGGGAACAUCAGUGUCAUAGCCUUUUUAUUUUUUUUUUGGGGUCAAUAGUGUAAUAGCUUUGUGCUCGGGACCCGAAUGGGGUAUUAUUUUCUCCUCGUGCCCAGACUAGUCUUCAGUAGUUGGGCCCAAUAGUAGAUAAAUGGGCUGCCCAAAAAUGGAGCGUGACAAAACUUGGAUUGAUUUCACCAACAAGAAAACAGACAAUUAAUUCUUCAACAACAACUCUCCACAGGAGACUUGGCGCAAAUAGUAGAUUCGUUGGCUUUUAUGCAAGAUCACUUGGGAACAUGAGUUUAACUUAUGUAGUGUGCAUUGGGGUAUCUAAGAUUGAGGUUGUUCAUUCUACCGAAGAAAAAAAAAAAAAACUUAUGUAGUGUGGAAUAUAAAAACCCAUAUAGUUGUGCAUAUGGGUGGGUGGAUGUGGGAGUUUGUGAUCUAAUGUGUAGUAUUAGAUGUUGUCUAAUUUAUCUGAAUAAAAAAAAUUGAGAGAAAAUUUUAUUAUUUUUUUUANNNNNNNNNNNNNNNNNNNNNNNNNNNNNNNNNNNNNNNNNNNNNNNNNNNNNNNNNNNNNNNNNNNNNNNNNNNNNNNNNNNNNNNNNNNNNNNNNNNNNNNNNNNNNNNNNNNNNCAUGUGGUCGCUUAUCUAUCUCAACAUUCUCAUCUUAAUCAUAUUUAACUUAUGUUUAUGUUUAUUUUUUGCUGUUCAAUACUCUGUUCUAUAUAACAUAACUGAUCUAAUAGAAAUAUAAUAAUUUUUAUUUUUAAGAUAUUUUUUUACCACAUAUAAUACCAAAUUCCUUCUACCACUUUAACUAAUUCGCUUGUAUUAUAUAUUUUACAUCAUCCUCAAUUUCUUCGUUAUCUUAAUGCUUAAAAUAUUUUAUUUGUAAUAGGAUGAUUUUUCCAAUUAUUAUAUUUGUAUUAUUGUUUCUCCCUCGCCUACUGAAUUUAUAUUCCAUGUUCUGCAUCAAAUUAUUAGUUCUUCAUAUAAAUUAAAUCAUAAUAUAUGAAGUAAAAUCUUAAUUGAUCUUUUACAAGCCAAAUAUUACUCUGAAUGCAUUGGACAAGGUAGCGAAAUAAGAAAUGAGUUCAAUUAGGGAAUCAAAUAUUUUUUAGUUAAUAUUAAUUAAUUUUUUUAAAAUUAUCUUUUAUUUUAAAUUUAAACAUUAAAUCUUAAAUUUUGAAUUUAAAAUUCUAAAUUUUAAAUCUUAAAUGCUAAUUCUAAUUCCUAGAUUGUCCAAAAAGUGAAGGUUAAAAAGCAGUUUUAUACUAACAAAUUAUUUUUACUACUGUUAGCUAUUUAACAAUUAAUUAGUUCCUAUACUUAUUCAUAAGUAUCUGGAUUUAAGACAAAACAAAUGAGUAACAAUCCUAACUGGCUAUUUAAUAAUAGGAGUUGACAGGAGUUGACAGCACCUUUGUUAAUUACUUAAAUUAAUUCUAUAUAUUAUUAUUAGAUGAGUUAACGACUCCUCUUAAACAUUUAUUAGUAGUAUUUUUAACUAAGUAGGUUGGGUUUGCAUUGUUGAAAGUUGAAAUUGACCCUUCAAUUGAUCUUAUUGGUUUGGUGGUUGAUUAAAAACUUUGAUUUGAAUUUCCAUUUAAAUUUGAUAAAAGACCUCUAUCUCUAUACAUAUCUGGACAAACUAAUUAAACUCAGAUUCAUGUAACCACAACUGUCAUUUAUUAGUGUAAAGUGAAAAAAUGUGUCAUCAAAAUAUUUAAUAAUUAAACCAUUGCAUUUUGACCCAGGUCUAGCUAAUUGAAACAGUGCAAAUCAUAGUUGCAAAAAUUUGAAGAGAUUUUAUGAUUAACAUCAUUUGUAAAUCAUUAAUUAGUAUUUAUACUUGGUGAAUAUCAAAAAGAGGAAAAGAAUAAAGGGAAGAGUUUGAUGAGUCCUUUUAAAUGUAUUGAACUUGAAAUUUAUGGAGCUAGGUAAAAAGCUUAUUGGGUCCCAUAAUGCUGAGAUGCAAGCCACAUAUAUAUAUAGAGAAUGUGAUUUUUUAAGGAAAUCUAAUCCAUGAAGAACAAGCAAAGAAAUCAUGAAAGAUUUGGCAACCUAAGAGUAGCGGUAUUAGUUUAAGAGUAAGUUAUAUAUAUCGCACCAAGUGAAUAUAUGUGGAUCAUUAUUGUGGAGGAUUAUAUUGGCACUAAUUACUUUAUGUUAUAUGACAGUUUAAUUAUUGAAAGAAAAUAUUAAUGAAAAAGUUUUGGUAACCAAUAUUGUACUAUUAAUAUUGCAGCUAAUACUUAACAUAAGGAAAAAAAAUAUUUGAAAAUUUUUUCAAUAAGAACAUUUGAAUCUCAAUUAAAAGAAAUAUUUGAAAUUUUUUUUUGGUAUAAAAAAUAUUUAAAAUUUAAACUCAACAAAAACUUAUUUUUAAUUUGCUUCAUACUAAAUUUAUUUGAUAACGUGCUAUAAUAUUAACUGAAAUUGGUUGCAAUAGCAAAAACUAUCAAAAACUAAUUUGAACUAUACACAAUAAUAGAGCACAAUUUUAUGAUGACUUCUCCAACAAUGAUAUGAAAGAAAAGAUAAAUAAAAAGACAAGGAUUGAAAUUGAAUAAAAAAGAUAAUUUAAAAUUAAAAUAUAAAAUAUAAAAAUAAGUUGAAAUUAAAUAUAAAGAUAAUUAUUUUAUUUUUUAUUUAAUUUCUUGAUGUAACAAGAGAUUUACUCAACUUAACUUGUUUACACUAUAGUUUAAGAAUUAAAUUGAAGAGAGUCACUUUAAUUUUCUACCUAAUUUUUUAAUACAAUAGGAGAGGGACUCACUUAAUUUCAUUUGUCUAUACUAUAAUUUUAUCACAAAAUAAAAAAAUACUUUGACACUCCUUUGAGAUCUCUAUAACAGAGACAAUAAUUUAUGAGAUAUUUAUAACUUUUUAUUAGGUUAAAAUAAAGAAAAUCCUAAAUCUACUAACAUAAAGGCCAAUUUAAUAACUAAAUAAAUAAAAUCAAAAUACAUAAAAUUAAAUUGAACAUUCUGAUAUUUAAAAAUAUAAACUAAUAACUAUUAAAUAAUAGUUCAACUCUUCAUAUCACAAAUAUUUAAAACAUAAAUUAUUCUCUUUUAAAAAAAAAAAGAUUCAUCAUCAAAUCUUGUAGUUAAAAAAAUAAUAUAUAAAAAAGACAAAUACAAAAAAGAUAUAUAUAUUUCUUUUACAUUGUAUGUUUUUUUAUUUUAUUUUAAAUAAUAAAAUCAACAAGAAUGAAACACAAAAAGACAAGGACAAUAAAAACAUAAAAAAAGACGCGAGAGAUAUUAGAAUUUUUUUUUUUUUUGGGAUACAAGAAGAAGAAACAUAUAUUAAUAAGGAUUAAUUUAAUAUCUGAAAUCUGAUAUUAAAUUAUACGAAAUAAAAGAUAAAUAAGAAGACAAGGAUUGAAAUUAAAUGGAAGAUAUAAUUUAUAAUUGAAAUAAAAUAUAAUUAAUCCAAUUUUUUAAAAGAUAGGUUGAAAUAGAAUACAAUUAAUCGAAUUUCUUGAAAUAGAGUAUAGAAAGAUAGGUUGAAAUUGAAUUAAAAAAAAUCGCUCUAUAUUUUAUUCAAUUUCUUGAUAUAACAAAAAAGAAAGUCACUCAAUCUAAUUUGUCAACACUAUAAAUUUAGAAAUUGAAUCGAAAAGAAUCACUUAACUUUUUACCUCACUUGUGUGCACAAUAAUUUCAUCACGAAACUAAAAAGUACGUUGAAAUAUCUCUAUUAUUUAUAACAUCUUAUUUAGUUAAAAAAAAUUUCUAAACCUAUUAACAUUAUUUUAAUAUUUAAAAAUAUAAAUUAAUAACUACUAAAUAAUACUCAAACUCCUCGUGUUAUUAAAGCACGUAAUCAAACAACCAAUAAAAAAAACUCCGCUGAAAAGCCUUAUAAAAAUUAAUAUCCAUUUAGGUCAGGUGUCUUUGAAAAUUAAACUAAAUUCCUUUUUUGUUGGCAAACAAAAUACCACUAACAUUUGUUUAAUCAUAAGAGAGAUAUACUUAAAAACAUUCCAGCAUUUCAAUGAUCACUAAAUUAAAAAAAAAAAAAAAAGAAAGAAAGAAAAACUGAAUUUGAGAUUUUAAACUUUUGCAUAAAAAGAGUGAGUUAUCUGUGUGUCAUGUAAAUUUAUAAAUGAUAUAAAAUAUAUAUGAAAAUAAAAAAUUGCAACCCACUCAGCUUUAAAAAGCUUUACAACUUUACCUUCUCACGUCACAUAAAUGAUAUAUUUAUAAGCAUGCAAAUUUUCUUCUUGAUCAGCAAACAUGCACUUCCAUGAAGUUAGUGUAGUUAAUAUAUACAGUGGCAAUCCAAUGGGGAUUUUAUUUAUUUAUCUAUUUGGUACAAUGUGGGGUUUAAUAAUUUCUCUUUUAUGAGAGAAGCCAAUACCCCCGCCCCUUUUAUAUUAUUAUCAUUAAUUUGGGUAAAGUAUACUUUUUGUUUAUAAAGUUUGAUAAACGUUUUAAAAAUAUCCCUAAAUUUUAUUUUAUUUCAAUUUUGUCCCAAAAGUUUUCGAUUUGCAUCAAAUAUACCCUCGACGGCUAAAUUUUCAAAAAAUUUAAGACCAAUUUAACAAUAAUGCAUGAAAAUUAUGCUUGAUUUGUUUGUGUUGAGGGUUGUUCUUAUGAAAUUAUUGUUGAAUUGGUCUAAAAUCUUUUGAAAAAUUAGCCAUCAAUGGUAUAUUUGAUGCAAAUCGAAAAGUUUUGGGACAAAAUUAAAACAAAAUAAAACUUAGGGAUAUUUUUAAAAUUUUUAUCAAACUUUAGGGACAAAAAAUAUACUUUACCCUAAAAAGAAUAAGUGUAUAAGAAAUUAAUUUUUAAUUAUUNNNNNAUUUAGAAUUUAAAAUUUAGGAUUUAGAAUUUUAAUUUAAGAUUUAGGACUUAAAAUUUAGAAUAAAAAAAGAAUUUAAAAAAAUUAGCUAAUACUAGCUAAAAAUGUUAAUUCCCUAAUUAAACUCUAUUUUCAACUUUGUAAGUAAAUUAAAAUUCCUCCAGAGAUCUAUCUCAACUCACAUUUGCUAAUAACCAAACUCUCGUUAUUCGGUUACCAAAUUUUUUUUUUAUUAUUUUUUGUAGGCUAUUCUCCACCAACACCAAACUCCUCUAGUGGAAUAUGGACUUGGAACAAAAGUAAGAGGAAUCCCACAUGAAAGUAGAAAACACAUCACAAAAUAAAAUAAAAAAAUAACAAAGCAAAAGAAAAAUAAAACCCUAUGAAUAUGUAAGAUAACUCCACAAAGAGAAAAUAGGUCAACAUGCUUUUUAUUUUAAAUCGUGAUUGUAUAAUGUAGACAAGCAAAGCAGCACUAGACCACAAAUUAUUCUAGUUAAACAAUUCCUUUUUGGUUUGGACUUUCUUCAUUCAAUUUUUUCUAUGAUUAAUUAAAAAAUGGGUCGCGUGCAAUGGUCACAAUCGGAACUUGUCCCAUCCAAAAUAUGUGUUUUUAAUUUAAAAGUAGAGUACUCGUGCUCUCUAAUCACAGGUGUAAAGAGUGUCUUAGUAAUUGAAAAACGAAGAUUAUAAAGCAUGUUAAGGUAGGACAAAUGUGCCACUAUUUCUUGGUUCAUUGGAGGGUCUUAUCUAAUUUGGUUUAUUUUAGCCACUCAAAAUAAAAGAGCCUCAUCUUUAUUCACCUUAUAAUUUAUUUAUUUGUUAUUGAAUAUGAAUGAAGUUAAUUGUUUAUGAAAUAUUUAUAUGUUUUAGCAAGAAUGAUAUAUCUAGCUAGCAGAACCAAUGUAGGUUAGCCGAAUGAACAACUCACUCGUUUAUUUAAAUAAGUGUUAAUAGUUUAAAUUCUAUCAUUUAAAUCUGUAGCAAAUUAAUUUUUAGCCUGUCAAAUUAAAAAUAUUAUGAACAACUAAAAAAAAUAUAUCUAACUAGCAGGUAUGUCCAGUAAUCUGAGUAAUACUUGGCUCAAUACUAGUGGAUGGAUUGUUGAGAAACAUACCCGGUGUUCGUGGAAUUAUUGAACGCCCAUACACCAAAAGGGGCAGAAGAAAAAUGAGGAAAACAAAGUUGAAAGAGACAUAAUAUUUGGACAAUAAUAAUAAUAUUAUUAUGUAUCUAAUAAAAUAUAAGAGUUGAGAAUUAGAGUAAGUGUCCUAUUAAAAUUUAUAAGUAUACAGGGACGGAUCCAGAAAUAGUAUUAUGGGGUCAAUAACAUAUAUAAUAUUAAAAAAUUAUGUAAAAAAUUAUAUAAUAUAAAAUACAUUACAAAAAUAUACUGAUAGAGAAUAUAUUUUAAACUACAAAAAAUAUAUAUGUACUUUUUAUUAACGAAGUAGUCGAUUCCUCAUUUCAUAAAAUUCAUCGAUAAUAGAAUUUGUGUCAAUUUUUUCUGUAAUUUUCUUUUUAAUAUAAUUAAAAGACAAUUAGCAAGAAAUUUAUCUUUCAUUUUAUUUCUGAAUUAUUCUUCACAAUAUUCAUAGCUGAAAAAGAACUCUCAGUUGUAAUAGUUGAAACAGAGAAAAUUAAUACCAAAUAAAUCAAGAAGAACGCUCACAAAAAAAAAAAUCUACUUUAUGGGAUUUGAAAAAAUUUAUUUAAUUAAAAAAUAUUAGUAAUAAUAUCUUUUUUAUAUUUUUUUAAUAUUGUUACCUACUUUUUAGAUAUUAGAAAUCAUUAAUAUUUAAAUUGGACUAGACUAUUAUUUAUAGGAUAAAGUAUACUUUUUGUUCAUGAAGUUUGACAAAAGUUUUUUUAAAAAAAUUAAAUCGUACUUAAUAACUUAUUACUAUUAAUCUUUUUUUAAAAAAAUUGGGGCCGAGGCCUCCCCUCGCCCCUUAAGUCCGUCUUAGUAUAUCACGUCAAAUCAUUCAAAGAUAAUUAACCUUUUUAUUUUAUCACUUUACAAAUAUUAUCUCGGUGAAUCUAAAUUGUUUUUGUUUUCAAACGGUAUGAGAAAAUUAGAACCUUUUAUAAUAAAUUAGUGAUAUACUAUAAUAAACUGCUUGAAAACCUGAUAUGUCGAAUUUAAUUCAAGGCGGAAAGUAAGCAUCAAAGUAGGUCCUCAAUUUGACAAUUUCACCAUAACAUCUACAUUGAGGUCAACUUCAUUCAACAUUCCAUUGUCCCUAAAUGUUCGGAAAAACCUAUGUUUUGAGAGUUGUAAUCUCAUCCAUUUAAGUUGGUUCUAAACUUGUAAAUGUUUUUUCUAAAGUCUAAAUUUUCUUUUGUAUUAUUUCAAAGUUACACCUUAAUUAAAUAAAUAAGUAGAUGAUAAUGCCUUAAAAAGAUUGUGUAACUAACUACUCACUAGAAGUUUACUUAUUUUUUUUUUUAAAAAAAAAAAGACGAAAAAAGUGAUAACUACUCGGUAUCCAAACAAAAGAUGCCAAACACAAAGGUGAGAAUUUCUCCUUUUAUCUCAUUGAAAAAUACUAUUCUUGAAAAAUGCUAACAAUUACAAACACAAACUGACUUUGUCUUUUGAAAAAUUUUUGGACAGUAUUUUUAUUAUUAUUUUACCAGCACAAAUAUUAAUUAUUUUUAAUAAAUAAAUUUUAUUAAUUUAUAUAUAUAAAUUUUAAAAAAUGUGAAUGUAAACUGUAUUAAUUUAUGUGUAUAAAUUUUAAUAAAUAUAAGUGCAAAUUAUAUGUUUUUUUGUACAAAUAAAAUUCUGUAAAUAUAAAUACAAAUUAUUACCGAUUAAAUACUAAUAAAAAAUGAUAAUAUUUUAGCAUUACUCCGUCCCUUUUUGUUUUUUAAAAGAAAGAAAAAAAAUUAUCUUCAUAUUAUAGUUUCAAAUUAAACAAUAUACAAAUUAAAUUUCACAAUCACAUGCCAUUUAUUUGAACCGGUUAAUAAUUAUCAGUAAUAGUAUGUUUCAAAAUUCAAAUAAAAACUAAUCUGAUCUUCUUGAUGAUUUAAUUCUCCGACAAAAAGGUAUGUAUAUUUGACGAUAACUUUGAAUGCAAUAAUAAUAGUCAUAGAUGAAUUUGUGUCAAACACAAGAAGCUAAAGGAAAUUGGCAACGCUUUCGUCCUCUCUAAUAAUCUCUAUACAUGCAACUGUUGCUUUCUUCAUUCCUUUUGUCACAAGUUAAUUAAAUUUCUAAAGUUACACGUUAAAAAGAUAUUAAUACUAAAGAAUAAAACUAACUAUCCCUCUCGUGGGUAUCAAUUGUUUUAUAAUUGAUCUGUGUACUAACAUAAAAGGACUCUUCUUUAAAAUAAAGCCACCUGACCUAUCAACUUAUAGUGUUCAUGGUCCCAUUUUAUAUGUAUCAAAACUUUCUAUCUUUCAAAUUAAAGAUACUAACUAAUACUAAAGAAUACGUAUUGUUAAUUAUUUGGUUAUUAUUAUGGCUCACUUUCGAUCUUAAUUAAUUAAUUUCGCUGUAAAGUGAGUUGAUUAUGUGGCUCAGGAACAUCUGUUUGAUUGUAGUGGCGGCUAGUGCACGAACCCAAAAGUUUUCUUUGUGCUCCAGCCAAUAAUACUUCAAAGAAAACAAUUCAAUUUUAAAUAUUUGUUAACUAUUUUUUUUUUUUAAAGAGGUAGAGAAAAAUUUUGUAGGUUCUACUAGCAUGCCAUGCUUCUUAGUCUAGGGUACAUAUAUAUAUGGAUGUGGGGAGGUAGGUCAGCAUAAAAUAAAAAUAAAGAUAUUCAUGGAUUAAUUAAUUAAUUAAUUAAUAUUGCGCAUAAUUUAUCGUAUAAAAUUCUUGUGAUCGAGCCACGUACUAUUUCUCAACUACCGCCUAACAGUUAUUUUUUUCUCAUUAUAGGAGACGAUCAAUAAUAUUAUUCAAAUAAUGAAGUCCUUGGAAACUAAUUUUUUGUAAUAAAAUAUGAGUAUUUAAAACUAUCUCUCACUCGUCCGUUUAAAUAAGUGUCGCGACAGUCGAGUUGGGGAAUAGCAUGGGCAAUCAACCAAAAAAAUAUGAGUAUUUAAAAGAAAAUAGUAAAAAUUAUUGGUGGAGACAUUUCCACUCUAAAAGGUACCAAACACAAGGAUGAUCUUGAAAGUGAAAGAGAGAGUGAGGAAGAUUAAUUGAGAAUUGAUGCUGAGAAAAUGAGAGCCGCGCACGUACAUUCACGUAUAUAACAACUUUUACAAAUGGAAUAUUCUAACUAGCUCUCAUAACCUACUAUACACAUCAGUAUAUAUCAUUUUUUACCCGAUACUCAUACUGAUGCAAAUUAGACUAUUAGAUAAAAUAGACUUCGAUAAUUCGGUUUUUAGAUUUUUGUAAACCAAAAGAAUCAAUCAAAUAAAGACAAGUACAAAGUCAACCAUGAUGGUUCGUUUAAUUUAUUAGCUUACUUAAAUAAGUGUUGGAGGUUCGAAUCUCGCCUUAUGUAUGGAAUUAUCUAUUGGCUAAUGACAAAUUCUUAAAUAAUACUUCGAUUCACGACGAAUUAGUUCUUGACCUCUCGGAUUGAAAGAUGUCAUGGAAAAAAAAAAGUACAACAGUCUUCCGUCCUUUCCUAAGCUAAUUUCAUAAUUUCCUUAUAUCUCCGUGAAUGAACGGCUCCUGUUUGAGUAGUCAUUUUCUGUUUCUGUGCCUCUUUCUUAGUCUUCUAUUUUGCACAAUUGAAUCAUAGAUUCACAAAAGCUUUGAGAUUCGUUACUAGCUGUAAUUCUUCUUCUUCUUCUUUAUUUAAUUUAGUAUUAUUCUUUAUGAGUCUUUUUAUUGAAUUUUUUUAGAUGAAGACAUUCAAAUAUUUAAUGCUUAUUGUAAUUUUUAAUAUUUAUUAUUUAACUAUAAUUUUUAAAUAUUUUUCAUUUUAUAUAUUCAAUUAUUUUUUAUAAUUAUAAUAAAAAAAUCAAAGAAUAUAUUUAUUUAUUGNNNNNNNNNNNNNNNNNNNNNNNNNNNNNNNNNNNNNNNNNNNNNNNNNNNNNNNNNNNNNNNNNNNNNNNNNNNNNNNNNNNNNNNNNNNNNNNNNNNNNNNNNNNNNNNNNNNNNNNNNNNNNNNNNNNNNNNNNNNNNNNNNNNNNNNNNNNNNNNNNNNNNNNNNNNNNNNNNNNNNNNNNNNNNNNNNNNNNNNNNNNNNNNNNNNNNNNNNNNNNNNNNNNNNNNNNNNNNNNNNNNNNNNNNNNNNNNNNNNNNNNNNNNNNNNNNNNNNNNNNNNNNNNNNNNNNNNNNNNNNNNNNNNNNNNNNNNNNNNNNNNNNNNNNNNNNNNNNNNNNNNNNNNNNNNNNNNNNNNNNNNNNNNNNNNNNNNNNNNNNNNNNNNNNNNNNNNNNNNNNNNNNNNNNNNNNNNNNNNNNNNNNNNNNNNNNNNNNNNNNNNNNNNNNNNNNNNNNNNNNNNNNNNNNNNNNNNNNNNNNNNNNNNNNNNNNNNNNNNNNNNNNNNNNNNNNNNNNNNNNNNNNNNNNNNNNNNNNNNNNNNNNNNNNNNNNNNNNNNNNNNNNNNNNNNNNNNNNNNNNNNNNNNNNNNNNNNNNNNNNNNNNNNNNNNNNNNNNNNNNNNNNNNNNNNNNNNNNNNNNNNNNNNNNNNNNNNNNNNNNNNNNNNNNNNNNNNNNNNNNNNNNNNNNNNNNNNNNNNNNNNNNNNNNNNNNNNNNNNNNNNNNNNNNNNNNNNNNNNNNNNNNNNNNNNNNNNNNNNNNNNNNNNNNNNNNNNNNNNNNNNNNNNNNNNNNNNNNNNNNNNNNNNNNNNNNNNNNNNNNNNNNNNNNNNNNNNNNNNNNNNNNNNNNNNNNNNNNNNNNNNNNNNNNNNNNNNNNNNNNNNNNNNNNNNNNNNNNNNNNNNNNNNNNNNNNNNNNNNNNNNNNNNNNNNNNNNNNNNNNNNNNNNNNNNNNNNNNNNNNNNNNNNNNNNNUUUUUUUGCCACCAAAAAAUGAUCACCAAGUUCCACCAACAAAUUAUUUUCAGAUGGAAGUCUUAAGUUCGAGUCUCACUGUUAAUUUAAAAAAAAAAAAAUUCCACCACUGUAUACCUCAAUGACACCCUCCCUCAACCUUUGAUUACAUGAUGAAAAGGAAUGUGGUGCUUAAGCCUUUCUUGCACUUUGUCUCUUAUAGUGUCACAAUCGAUUUUGUUAUGCUUUCUACAUACACUCAUAAAAAAUCGAUUAAUUAGAUAAAUGAGUCGACUAAUUCAUGAAGUAGAAGUUGAUUUGGCAUUGUUCACUCCAAAUUUCUCAAGCAAAUCCAAUAAUGUCUAUUUGCAUUGGUACAUUGCGAUCCCCUGGAAAACUUUUAACUCACCUAAAUCCUUAAUUAUAAACUUAUGAUCAAGAAAUCUCUUGAUUCUCACAAUCUCAGCCCAAUCACUUUCUAUGUCACGACCUACUGCCUUAUUUUAUGCCAUAGUACUUGCAACCCCAAAGGGGGGCUUCAUCAUAUAGACUUCUUCUUAGGACAAUUCUCCACGAAGAAAAGUUAUGUUUCCCUUUACUAUUUCGGGAACAAUCUAAUCAUUAAACUGUCAUCAUUUAAGUAUACUAAUAUCGUUUACUCACAUUCAAUUCAAUAUCUAGCACUUAGCUUCUUGUCUUAUAUAUUAAGAACAAGACCUGAGGGUACUAUAUAUAUAUAUAUAUAUAUAUUCAGUGAGUUCAUUGUAACAUGUCUUCUAAUGCAUGUUUUCUUAACUCCGUACAAUGACCCUAAUUAAGGUUCUUAUAGAGGGUGGGUCCUACUAGCUCAUUUUAUUCUAAAGAAGUUCAAAAUGAACUCAAAUCACUCAAAAGGGUUACUCUGUUCUUACCUUGUUUUUAUUUUAAAUUUUGAACACCAUGGAAAAAAAAAUAAAACAUUAUGCCAUUAUCAAACCAUUUCUUUUAAAAGUUUAAGUUGAUAGAAAACGACAACAUAAAUUGUUAUACUUCUAGGUUUAUUCUCUCAAGCAAGAAUUUUUUUUAAAUUUACUUAAACUUUACAUAGGCUUUUCUUUUUUUCUUUUUAUUUCUUUUAUGUUAUUUUUAUCUUUUAGAAUUUAAAAAGGAUCAAACUCUGAUCUUUUGAUUAUAAAAGUUCUGAUAUCAUAUUAUGAAAUCAUUUCUCCUAAAAACUUAAAUUGAUAUAUAAAAAAAACAAUAUAAAUAAUUAUAUCUCUCCUAUACAUACAAUUCAAUUCAACUCAUAUCCUUAUCGACUAUUUAUUAAGGGUAUAUACCCUUUUUCAAAUUAAUUAAUACUUUUUUUAAAGCGUUUAAUAUUUUUAAAUAUUUUUUGUGUAUUUAAAUAUUCUUUUCAUACUUUCAACAAGUAAUUUUUUUUUUUGUAAUGAAAUUCGAACCCAUCACCCGUGGGCUUAACCUAUGUGUGGAAUGUGGAUUGAGUUGGGUUGAAUUAAAAAAAAAAUAAUUUUAUUCUUUCUAAAUCUCAUAAUUCGUUAAGAUAAGUUGGCACAAAUGGAUAAGAAUUUGUGUCCCUUAAUUAUCUCUUUUAGAACUUGCUUGUUUAAGAAGGUCGUUCACUUUAUACCUCUGCAGUAGUACAAACAAAAAAAUAAGUCUCAUAAUUCAAUUUAUAUCCUGAUUUAAGGAGGUUUCAGUACACAAAUCCUAAGUUUAGUGGUAAUAAUAUUCGAGAUUUGGCUUUCGAAAGUAGUAAAUAAUAACUUUUAGUGUUAUGUGUGUGAGUGUAUAGUAUAAACCAAUAUUAUAAUGUUAUAAGAUUAGGGAUGAUUAACUCAUCUUUUGAAAUUGAAAAAAAAAAAAAAGGAAACAGCUUCCAUAACUUACGUCUUACCUACCUAUGAGAGAGGAGUCUCAACCAUUGAGGUUGCCGUGAUAAAUUUAUGCUUUGGAACUAAGGGUACCAAUAAAACUUCUAAUCUUUUUUAUCGUUUGAGUUUUCAGUGUAUUAUAAAUUUUAUCUUUUUGUUUCACAUAAAUUUACGGUAGAAAUAUUAUUUGCACAUCAAAAUAAGUCAUAAAAAUUAGUNNNNNNNNNNNNNNNNNNNNNNNNNNNNNNNNNNNNNNNNNNNNNNNNNNNNNNNNNNNNNNNNNNNNNNNNNNNNNNNNNNNNNNNNNNNNNNNNNNNNNNNNNNNNAUUUUAUAACUAAUUAUUAUUUUUAUAUAAAAACAUGUGUUGAAUUAACACACAUGGAAAUUGAAGGAAGGGUAAUACUAUUGAUGAGGGACAGGAAAUUGGAAGAAAGUGCACAGUGUAGGUAGCAAAACAAAACUAAGAACCCUAACCAUAUAGUAGAGAAGUUUAAGGCGAAACUUAUAUAUGGUAUGGUCCCAUGAGGCUAUUAUAAUAAUUACCCACGAACGUUAGUGGAGAAAACUCACGUUGCAUAUUUUAUUGUCUCCCCUAUAAUUCACAUAACCUAGCUCUACAAACUUAUUAUACGUCACUCGUUAUGAAGCAUUCCCCUCCAUAAAUUCCCACUCCCACAAACACCAACACUAAGAAAAAGAAAAAGAAAGAAACUCAUACACACAAUAACCCUAGCUAUGGCUGAAGGAUGUGGUGGGAACUCAGUUGCAACCACUUCUCCUGCUUCAUUCAAUUGGUGGUACCUCCAUGCAAAUCAUGCUACUAAUACUAACGCAUAUAAUAAUCAUCAUCAUCACCAAACAAACCCUAAUAAUUCUUCAUCAUGUUCUUGUGAGGAGGAUAUAUCUGUUUCAACAUCUUUCACUAAUGCCUCCAACCAUUCAACCCUCACUGUUGAUUCUUCCCGAAGGCUUCUUGAUCCUUCCUCCAACAACAAUCACUUCUUGCCGGAACAUGCUGAGGAUAAUCAUCUUUGGAAUCAUGUUCUAUCGUGAGUACUAUACCUACCUUCAAAUUUCUAUGUUAUGCAUAUUAUUAAUUAUUUUUAUAUAGAUAUAGUUUCUAAACAACUUUGUUUAUAUAUGUAUAUAUAGAGAGAGAAUUAGAGAAAAGGGAAUAAUAAAUAACUUUUAUUUAGGUGGAAUAAUAUAGGGUGCUAUAAGGUUUAUAUAGGAGCCUAUUAAAUAGAGUUAAGGUACUAUUUUUUUUUCUGUCUUCUAUAGAUUUUGCUAAUCCAAUCCACAAAUUAGUCAAUGCUUUCAUACUAUGAAACUAAGAUUUUUUUCUGAUUUCAUUGAAACCAACAAAAACCUUAAUAUAUAUUUAAUAUUGAUUUUGUUUUAUUGUAUAUUUGAAUCCAAAAAAGAUCUCGAGUGUAAAAAAAUCAAAAUUGGAAUUUGAUAUGCACCCACAUAGAUUAAAUAUAUUAAGGUUAAUUUGGUGUGUUUUUUUUUUUAAACAAUUUAUAGAGCUGUUGGAUCAAACGGGGAGUUGCACAACAAUGAAGAAAUGGGAGAAAUGAAGUUUCUGGAUGCACUAUCAUCUAAGAACAUGACAAGCUCCAUGUUUGAAGAACCGGCAUGUGACUACUUGAAGAAACUUGACACCACUACUAGUUGGGAAUAUAGUGGUGGAUCAACUUCUUCAUCAUUCAACAACAGUUUUGAGAAGCACUUGAAUAAUAAUAAUAAUAAUAAUGGGUUCAGUGAUGAUGCAUUGAUUGAGAAUAAUGAAAGGUUGACUAAGUUAUCUAAUCUUGUUAGCACUUGGUCUAUUGCCCCACCUGACCCUGAAGUUAGUAGUAGCCACUUUGAUCAUCCACCAACAAAUAAUAAUCAUCAUCAAUUCCCACAAUCUCAUCAUCAUCAUGACCCUAAUUGUAAUUUCAAGCAACAAGUUUUUAUUGGAGAUUCCACAUCAUACCCUCCAAUCAGUAGCUAUGAUCAUCCCACAAAGGUGAAGGAAGAAUUUCAUCAUCAUCAAACAAAUAGUGGAUUUCAAAAUGGAUUAAUUAAUGGCCUUUCUUCAGUGAUGGGAGGAGAUAGUGGUAAUAAAUUUUACCAUGGUUUGCCAAACCUUUCUUCAUGCACAAGAAACAUCUCAGAUGUUAUUUCCUUCAAUAGUAGGCUUGGGAGGCCAGUUCUUGGAAUCCAUGCACAAAAGCCUAAUAUCAAAUACAUGAAUAAUUUAUCUGAAUCAAAGAAGCAGCAAGGUCUUCAAACAACACCCCCGGUGAGAUUAUAUAUAUAUAUAUAUACUCUUUCCUUCCAAUAAUAAUAAUGCAUGGUUGAAUUAACAAAAUUGGUAUAUUAAAGCAAAAAACAAAAAUCAUCUUUUUAUUUACCAAUUUUGUAACCUUGACAAUAAUUGUUAAGCGGAAGGAAUCUAUAUCAGACGAUUUAUCAUUUUUAGGUUAAUUAAUUUUUUUUACAGUUAAACUCAAAAUUUAGUAGUUAAUUAAGACUCUUACAUCUUAUUUAAAUCUGAAGUCAAGUGUUCAUAUCAAUUCUCAUUCUCCUUUAAUUUCCUUACAUUAUCUUUAUUAAAAAAAAUAAAAAAAAAAGAAAAAGUUUACUAAUUAAGUUUGUUUUCUAAAAUAUGCAGAUAAAUAGAAGUAAUAAUGGAAGAGUAGAGGGGACAACAGCUCGUGAAGUAAAGAAGAAAAGAUCUGAAGAAUCUUCAGAAGCAAUCUUGAAGAAGCCUAAGCAAGAUACAUCCACAGCUUCUUCUACAAAGGUAUACAUAACAAUAUAUAUAAUGAAAAACUACCAUACCUAGGUAUAUGUUAAAAUCAUCUAUUAAAAUUAAUUGAACUACAUAUGUAUUUGUAUAAGAAUAUACAAUAGUUAAUUUUAAUUAUUUUAAUAAUUUUCAAUAACGUGAAUUAUAUUAAUUAACUUAAAGAAAAUGAAGAAAAAGAAACUUGUGUAUUUAAAAUUAAUAAGAAGCUUCUAUUCAUUUUUAUUUUGUUUAAAAGGUGCAAGCACCCAAAGUCAAGCUGGGGGACAAGAUCACAGCCCUUCAACAAAUUGUGUCUCCAUUUGGAAAGGUUGUUACUACGGAUUGCACUAAUUUCUUCCUUUUUAUUUCUUUAUUUAUUAACUUUUUUUUUUCCUUCUCAACUUUGUAUAUAUUUAAAUAAAUAAUUAACAGUGCUUUCUACUUUUCUCACUACCUACUACUUCAUAGUGAUCCAAUUUUCUUUCUUGAAUUUCAGACAGACACAGCUUCGGUGCUGUUUGAAGCAAUUGGGUACAUAAAGUUUCUUCAAGAACAAGUCCAGGUACGUAUCACUUUGGAAAAAGUUUCCUUCAUUAUUGAAUCAUCAUGCUAAUGCAACUAAAUAUAAUUAUAUAAUAAUACACCAAUUAUUGUUGCUUUCUUUUAAUUUCCUUUUUCUUCUUCUUCUUUUUUCUCCCCAUUUUUUUAAUGUUACACUGAAGAAGAACACAUUUUCCCUCUAUCCCAUGAACAACAUGCACAAUUAUAGCAACGUACACUUUUAUUUGUACCAUAAACACCGAAAUUAAUUAUCCCAAAAAUAAGAAUUAUUACGAACUCUUUUUCUUUUGGGGGUAAGAAAUUACAAAGUUAUUUAUGAAAACACAUUAUGUAAAGAAUAAGAGUGAAAGAUAUACUUAAUUAAUCUUCUUGUAAGCCAGUAUGUAUAUAACGCAAACAAUUAUCUUGUACUAUGAAAAAUAAUCAUAAUUAAGAGCUAUGUUGCUUUAAUUUAUUCCUUUAACAUAUAUUGGGCUAGUUUACAUUCACAAUAAUAAUUAUUCUUGCAUGUGCUUGCUGCAGCUACUAAGCAACCCUUACUUGAAGUCUAAUUCCCACAAGGUAAUUAAGAAACUUCUCUUAUGUAUUCUCUCUUUUCUCAAAUAAUAAUGUCCACUUUUAAAUUUUUAUUUGAAUUAAAAAAGUGAUUAAAAUGUAUUAGAGUUAUAAAAAUAAAAAAUAUGUUUUAAAAUUGUCUUUAAUAACAAUAAUUAUUCUCUUUAAUUAUUUUACUUUUUUACUAAUUUAUUCUCUCUAUUAUUAUUUCGAGAGCAUGACUGAACACAAAAAAAAAGUAAUUUGACAUUGAUUUAUUAAGUGGAUACUUAUUUUUUUGAAAAAUAAAAAUUUUAAAAUUAAACAACUCAUAUGAAAAUGGGAGGAACAAUAUUCUUUCACAUGUAUCAAAUUUUCACUCUUCAUCGUUAACAACGAUAACAUACCAAAUUAAUGGCAUUAUUGUUGAUUUUUCUCUUGGUGUUACUUAAUAAUAUAGGAUCCAUGGGGAAGCUUGGAUAGAAAAGAUCACCACAAGGAGGAUGCAAAAUUAGACCUUAGGACUAGAGGACUUUGUUUAGUUCCAACUUCAUGUACUCCUCUUAUUUACAGAGAGAACAGUGGACCAGAUUAUUGGACACCAGCAUACAGAGGAUGUUUGUAUAGGUGAAAAUUGAAAUGUCAUUGUGCCUGGCUAAUAUAAAUGCUAAUAUAGUACUUUUGUUUGGUUUGCUCUUGGGAAAGAUUUUACAAAGGUCUGUUAAAUAAAACAUAUGUACCCAUGGUGAUAUUCUAAUAUAAAUAACUUUUUGUCUUAAUGUAACUCAUAUAUAGGUUUUAUGCUACAAUAUUUUUGAUAUAUCUUUUAUUAAGUAUAUAAAUACUGCAAAUAGUUUCAUUAUUUUUUUAAUAAUAAAAACAUGAAAAUAGUAGUUAAAUAUGAUUCUAGACAAAAUCAAUUUUGGUACUUUAAAGAAUUAAAGUUUAUGAUUGUUGUUCAUGCCCUGAUCCAACAAAUAAAGUCAGACCCAAUAAAAAUAAAAGGUCCAAUCUAAAAAUGUGAUCUCUAUCGUAUACCCGAUCUCUUUAAAGAGGUCGGACGCCAUAAAACGAGCUCAGUUCCACUUGUCCAAGCAAGUAACUGCCUUCGCAAAUCUCUCCAAUUAUCUCUAUUUUUCUUGAAAGAUAGAUCUCAACAACUCCCAAGAUAAAAGGAACAGUUAUCCACCAAUAAAUGUGGAACUACUCUAACAAAGGUGGUUAACGACUCUACCAUAAAUACACUGACACCCCUCAGGUAUAUUCACGUUCUAAUCUACUAAAAAUCUGCCUAAAGUCCUUGCUAACUUAAGUAUCGGAGUCUCUUGCAGGUAUCACCCCCACCUCCUCACGAAGAACUCGGACGGCGGCACCUCGACACAAGAGCAAGUGAGACGUUGCCUUACAAGGAGUCUGGACCUCACGUCCAGGCUAAAAUCAACGUUUCAGAUAACCCUCUGGCAAGUCAAAUACCUUAUAGUAGGGAUUGACUACUUUACCAAAUGGAUCGAGGUGGAACUGCUGGCAACUAUCACUGCCCAAAGAAGUCGAAAGUUCCUUUACAAGAAAAUUAUCACAAGGUUUGGAGUUUCCCACUCCAUCACCACAGAUAAUGAAACUCGAUUUACUGACUCAACCUUCAGAAAUUUGGUGGCCAACUUAAAAAUAAAGUACCAAUUCACAUUGGUGGAACACCCUCAGGCCAAUGGAUAAGUUGAGGUAGCCAACAAAGUCAUAUUGGUCGGGUUGAAGCGCCGAUUGCAAGAAGCAAAGGAAAAAUAGGCAGACAACCUUUCUCAAGUCUUAUGGGCAUAUCGGACAACCUCUCAUUCCACAACAGGGGAGUUUCUUUUCCGAUUUGCCUACGAAAUAGAAGCCAUGAUCCUUAUAGAAAUUGUUGAAUAAUCACCUCGAGUCAUAUUCUACAAUGAAGGGGCCAAUACCCGAGCACAAAAGGAAGAGUUCGACCUCCUCCCAGAAGUCCAAGAACGAGCUCAGAUUAGAAAGGAAGCAUUAAAACAAAGGAUGGCCCAAAGGUAUAAUCAGAAGGUGAUCAAAAGAAGUUUCACCACAAACGACAUCAUAAUGAUCCGAAAUAACAUUGAAGUUUAGAAGUCAGGCGAAGGAAAACUAACAGCAAAUUAAAAAGAACCCUACAAAAUUGUUGAAGUCUUUCAAAAAUGUUACUACAAGGUGUUCGGCCUGCAAGGACGGGAGCUCUCGAGGUUUUAGCACGCGUGUAACCUAAAGAAGUACUACAGUUAGAAAGUAAGCCUUGUUCCUUGGUGUACUCUUUUUUCCAACCUUAAGAUUUUUUCCCUAUUAAAGAAGUACUACAAAGGCUCUUUAAAGUUCCAAAGUGAUUUGAAUUCAACUUCAAAAAGGUCGUUAAAGCUACAACUAUUAUAAAAUAAAGUGUUCAAAAAAGCUACUAGCUAUUACAAAAAUAAAUUGUUUAAAGACCCACAAGUCGGGCCAUCAAAGAAUAGCCAAAAGAAAGCCCUAAAAAGCUACUAAGUAGUGCCAAGCAAUGGGUUAAGGUCUUCCCCAGUAUCAGCAUCUUUACCUCAGCCAGGAGGGGUCGGAGGAUGGACCAAGACCGACACAGCAGAGAUAGCUCCAGGAGGUGAAGGAGGAAGAUCCACAUAACGACCUCAGGCUGGACCUCGGAAAAUUGAGAAGCCUUGUAGUCCCAAAGACUUUGGGUCGGGCAAUGGCUCCUUUUCCUUGUCUUCAGGGGCCGGUACGAUCUUCCUAUCAAUAACAAUAUUGUCCUGACUAAAUAGGGAGAGAUCGACCUCAGGGACAAGGACUUGGACUUGAGACUUGAGGUUGUUGAACAUCUCAUCCAUCCCUUCAAUCAUGUACUCUUCAAGGGUGGCAUACCUCUCCUUAGCUUUUCCCAACUCUUCCUGAAGGUCAAGCUUUUUCCCAUAAACUCGGGUAUAACUCUCAUCUGCACUCUUCUUCACCCCUCUGCCAUAGUCGCGACAGCCUCCAUCGUCUUUACUUGGGCCCAAGAUUUUUCUAGGUCGGACCUCAACCCGGUCUUCUCCUCCUCCAACUCUUUUUCAAUUCCUUUAGCCUCUCCAUCUCGGCUCGAAUAGCAUCAAGAGAGCUUUGAGUGACAUUAAGGGGAGUCUUUCUCAACUCCUUGGCCAAGGAUGUGCAUAUUCGCGCAAUCCGAAUACCAUUUUGCGCCAUAAGCUAGAUGUGAUUUUGGAUAGCCACAUCAUCCAUACUGAUGCGACUGUGAGGAAGAAUAUUUCUCUCACUCCAGGUAAUCCCGUCAAAACCUUUGUAGUAAAUACUCCCUUCUUCAACAGUUUUUUAUCUCUUUGGGGGAGGCUCGGAAGAUGAGUGAGAAAAAGGAACAACAGAACUCUCUGGAGGAAGGUCGAGAGAGAUUAGCCGACUUAUUGGAGUGGAAAUGAUUUUCUUUUGAGCUGAAGGGCCAGAAUCCGACUUCUUCGGAGAAGGACGGGAAGAAGCACUCUUGACCUUUUUAUCCUGAAGCCCACGAGCCAUGACAGUCUUCUGAGUUUGGCGUAGUUGUUUAAUCGCGGCAGUCUUGGGACCCAUGAUCUUUGCAAAGCAAGAAUAAAAGGCACAUUAGUCAAACAAAUUACAACUAAGAAGUCAUAAAAGCUAAGGGUCGGAAAGUUACCUAGCUCAUACCAAAGCUGAUUGGGAUCCCCUAAGAAUCUCUUAGUUUCCAAGUGAGGAGCCCGGACCCAGCACUAUUCCAACAUGUCCACAAAACAUUUUUCAAUCUCAUUUAAUGCAUCUACAUUGUACUUAGCUAUCACCGAUUUUUCCUCCCAGUACAACGGAAAAGAAGGCUCAUCAUUUUCAUCUAAAUAGAAAGGUCGGGCACCCUCUACAGCUCAGACUUUAAAGAAAUAGUUCUUAAAGUCGUGGAAUGAUUCAUCAAAAAUAGAAAAAAAAUCUUUCUGCUCUGAACAACACGAAAGAAAAACCAAGAAGACUUCCUUUUCAACAACCCAGGUUUGGUCAACACAAAGAUGAAAGAAGACCUUAGCAGAAGGUCGGACAUCAAGCUCCCGACAUAGAAGCUGAUAAAUUUUUAAGAAAACCCAGGAAUUCGAAUGUAGCUGGGAAAGGACAACAUUACAUGCCCAAAGGAAUUUGUCUCAAAAUCGGAAAAGGGAAGUGAAAUGCCUAACAUUGUGAAGAAGCAUUCAUAUGCAUAGAAAAAUGGGCAUUCUGAGUUAUCUAAAAGAGAGAAACACAUUCUAUUUUCACAUAUCCUAUGAUGCCUACAGAAACAUCCUCUCUAUUUUCGCAUAUCCUAUGAUGUCUAUGAAAAACAUCAAGAUACUCUCUAUCGACUAUGAAAACAGAAGAAAGGACAGAAGUAUCUACCCAAGCCAAAAGAUUAGGGAAAACUUUUGACGACAUACUGAAAACGAAAGAUCGAGACAUAAAGGCUACACCUACAAAUACAAAAUAAAGAAAUCGUUUCUAAAAGAGCUCGGAUGUCGUCAGAAAGAAGUUGGGUAAAAGCAAAUGAAACUAAAGAACGCAAUUUUAAAGAUCUUCUACAUACAGAAAGCAUUGAAAUUGCGUCCCUCUUAUACUAUCAGUAACGACACCAUUGAGAGCAAUACAAAUGCAAUCAACAAACAACAAAACGGCUAUAAUACAAAAUGGCUACAGUUUCACAAAAAUUUCAGAAACAUAGCCAGAUAAUCAACAGUAAUCUCAAUCAACAAAAAGCAGUUUUAAAAAGGAGCUUUUAGACAAAGUAACAAUAGUCAACAAUUUUUUCAAAGAAAAAUUUCAAAGAUACACACAAAACUAAUCACAUAAAGAACCUUUGCCAUUACCCAAAAGAUUUCCCCAGUACAAAUAGAUUCAAAAAGGAGCCAAGAAUCAAGAGCACCAACCUUAAUGAAGAUUCGGAGAAAGAAAAGAGCACGUCCAAUGGCAGUAAACACGAACAUUCCCCUCCACAUAGUAAAGCAAGAUCUUCAAAGGACCCAAGAUGGAGAAAUAUUGGAAUUAAAAGUGGUAACAAAGCAAGAAAAGAAGGAAAAAUAGAAGGAAAGAAGUGAGGCAACGAAGAAGAAGAGGAGCGUGCAAGCACUCUUAUAAGAGAAAAGGGCAAAAUAGUCCUUUCACCCCCUCCUUAAAGACGUGCACGGAUCUUAAGGAAAUUGCCACGAAACGUUCGCCUCUCAUUUAAAGAGGCAAUGUUCAAAUUUUCAAAAACGCGUCGAGUACCUGACUUCUAGGAGGUGGUGUACCCGAUGUCGAAACGAAAGCCACAAAUUGCUUGAGCUCGACCUCUUGAAGGCUCGGACUCAAGUAGUGGCACUGUUCAUACCCUAACCCAACAAAUAAAGUCAGGGCCAAUAAAGAUAAAAGGCCCAACUAAAAAAUGUGGCUUCCAUCGUAUACCGACCUCUUUGAAGAGGUCGGACGCCACAAAAGGAGCUUAGCUCCACUUGCCCAAUUAAGUAGCUGCCUCUGUGAAUCUCUCCAAUUAUCUCUAUUUCCCCUGAAAGAUAGAUAUCAACAACCCCUAAAAUAAAAGAACGGUUAUCCACCAACAAAGGUGGAACUACUCCAACAAAGGUGGUUAACGGCUUUACCAUAAAUACACUGACGCCCUCUCAUGUAGAUUCACGUUCUAAUAUACUAAAAAUCUGCCUAAAACCCUUGCUAAUUUAAGUAUCAGAGUCUCUUGCAGGUACCACAUUCCACCUCCUCACGAAAAAUUCGAACAGCAACAUCUCGACACAAGAGCAAGUCAGACGCUGUCUCAUAAGGAGUUUGGACCUUAUGUUCAAGUCCAAAUCAAUGUAUCAGGUAACUCUCGUAAAAAUUAUAAUUUAUAAUUUUCACUCUAUAAAAUAUUUAACAUAUGACGGUGAUAUUAUAGUUAGUGUUUUUAAUAUUAGAUGAUAAUCAUGAUAUUACAUAUUAUAUUUAAAAAAUUAUCAUAUUCACAAUUAAAAAAUAGUACAUUUAUAAUACAAAUAAUUUGUUUCACAUCUUAUGAAUUACCGGAGCACUAAAUAGAACACCACCAACUAAAUUUUGAGGGAUUAUUAAUGUGUAUUUAAAUAAAUUAAAAAAUAACGUACAGAAUAUCAAUUCAACGUAUACAACUUACAUUCUUAGGAAUCAUUAUUUUAAAGUUUAGUUUAGUAAAAUUGUUUUAAGAAGUACNNNNNNNNNNNNNNNNNNNNNNNNNNNNNNNNNNNNNNNNNNNNNNNNNNNNNNNNNNNNNNNNNNNNNNNNNNNNNNNNNNNNNNNNNNNNNNNNUCUCUAAAGUGAAAUUCAAACUUUAGAGGAUCCAAAUCCAUAUAUAUAUAUAUGAUAGAGAUAUUAUAGUUAUUUUUUAUAAUAAGGAUAUUAUAGUUACUUUUGUUGGUUUUUUCUCUCCUUUGUGAGACCCAAGCCCAACUUUUUGAGGGUAUCUCUUUGCACUCAUUGUGCCACAACCCUAAUCAGAUUUUGAGGUCUUUUGAGAGAGAGAGAAUAGCCACCAAGUGAGAGAGAAGAGGAAAAAACAGGAUUCCUGUUUUUAUGCAAAGUAGUAAAUUUCAAAUGGCAGUUUCUCAUUCAUUCACCGUUGGAUCGGCUUGAAAUUUAAACUGUGUAUUUCACUCAUCUUGUUUUACAUUCUGGACGGUUGAGAUGUUGAUUUGGAGUCCUCAGUGAGAGAAAUCGGCUUCACAAGAGAGAAAAUAGGUUUCCCAUUUUUACACAGAGCAGCAAUCGUUGAACGACAUUUUCUCAUUCUUUCACUGUUGGAUCAACGUGAAAUUUGGACUGCAGAUUUUUAUUAUCUUGUUCUUUAUUCUAAACGGUGAAGAUUUUAAUUAGUAGUCUGCAAAGGGAGAAAAUGGCUUCGACAGCAGCUCUAUUUUUUAGGGUAUUUUUCAUCUUCUUGCUUCUCAUUUAUAAAUUUUGGUGCUUUGAUGUUUUGGCUAGUUAUAUGCAUGCUUUUGUACUUUCUUUGAGACUCUCUUGUACCUCAUUUGAUUAUAGUGGAGCUAUUUCAUUGGUCUGGACGACCUGUGGUUUUUACCUCUCACAUUGAGGGGUUUUCCACGUUAAAAUCUCGGUGUGUUCUUGUUAUUGCUUUACUUGCUAUAUUUGCUUGUUAUAGUUGCUGCCAUAUUGUGUUGUGAGUGCUUCCAUAUUGUUCUUGUGUUGGAUAUUUGUAUUGUUUCCGCUGCUAGGCUCUUUCAUACUGGCAUCAGAGCUAGUUGGUAUUUUUCUGGGCUUGUGAUUCUGUGAACAAUGGAAGCUAAUACUAAUACUAGUAGGAUGAUCACUCUUAAUGGUCCUAAUUAUGAUUUAUGAAAGUCAAAAAUGAAAUAUUUGCUUUAUGUCAAAAAUUUUCAUCAACCAAUUUUUGGUACAGAGAAGCCUAAUGAUAAAUCUGAUGAUGAUUGGACUUUUGUUACAUAGACAAGUUUGUGGAUAUAUUAGGUAGCGGGUUGACGAUAAUGUGUUGAACUAUAUUAUUGGAGAGACACAUGCUCGGACCCUUUGGAUUAAACUUGAAUAGUUGUAUGCUCGAAAAACUGGGAAUAACAAGGUAUUUUUGAUCAAGCAGUUGUUGGCUUUGAAGUAUACAGAUGGGACAUCAAUGACAGAUCACUUGAAUAAUUUUCAAGAAAUUAUGAAUCAGUUAUCUUCCAUAGGUAUCAAGUUUGAUGAAGAGAUUCAAGGAUUGUUACUUCUUGGCUCCUUACCAGACUCGUGGAAAAUUCUCAAAAUGUCAUUAUCCAAUUCUGCUCUUGAUGGUGUAAUCUCUAUAGAUCUUGUCAAGAGUAGUAUUUUGAAUGAAGAGAUGAGAAGAAAGUCACAAGGUACAUCGACUACACAUUCAGAUGUUCUUGUUUCUGAGUCUAGGGGGAGAAACAAAAGUCGAGGUCCUAAAAGUAGAGAUCAAAGCAGAAGCAAGUCUCGAGAAAAGUGUAAGAAUACUGAGUGUCAUCAUUGUGGUCAAAAGGGACAUGUGAAGAAAUUUUGUUGGCAGUUAAAGAAAGAGAAAGCCAAGGCAAGUAAAGACAAGAGCACAAAUAAAGAUGAUGGUAGUAAUAAAGACAAGGUUAAUGUAACUCAUGAUGAUUUUCUUCUUGUUGAGGAGUUUGAAUCUAUUAACCUUGUUGAUAAUAAUAAUAGCACUAGUUGGGUGAUUGAUAGCGGUGCUUCUAUUCAUGUUACAUCUAGGAGGGAUUUGUUUACAUCUUAUACUCCUGGUGAUUUUGCUGAUGUGAAAAUGGCUCAUCAAGGUGUUGCAAAAUGUGCCGGUGUUGGACAUGUUUGCUUAGAAACCUCCAACGGUACCAAGUUGACUUGAAGCGUGUGAAGCAUGUUCCAAAUAUUCGGUUGAACUUACUUUCUAUUGGUAAGUUGUGUGAUGAAGACUUGGAUAGCUCAUUCUCCCGUGAUAGUUGGAAGCUCACCAAAGGUUCUAUGGUUGUUGCUAGAGGUACAUGACACUCUACUCUUUAUUUAACUCAAGCAAAGAUUGUGAAAGAUGUUGUUAAUGCUGCUGACUUUGUUGAUGAAACUGAUUUAUGGCAUAAGAAAUUAUGUCAUAUGAGUGAGAAAGGCAUGAAUAUGUUAUCCAGAAAAAAUCUUUUUAUCUGACUGUAAGAUUACUUUGCAAAAUUACAACUAUUAUUUUAACAAAAAUAACACAGUUUAAUCGAUUAUAUGUAUUAAAUUUUAAUUAUUAAAAAAUAUCUUUAAAAAAAUAUUUUUUAAAUAUUUUUAUGUGAGGAGCUCCCAAUCAAAAAUUCUUUCCUAAGAGACAAAAAGAAUUGAAUAUUAAAAUAUACAUCUAAAAAAGUACAAUAAAAUAUACAAGAUUUUAAUCUUCCAUCGAAAUUUUACUACCAAACCACAAAGCUUUGUCAACAUAUCUUAGUAGGUUUAUUUUUUCCACACAGCACAUAUGCUGUUCCAAUACAGUAAUAAACAAAUAUGAUUACAAGAUGAAAAAGAACAACUCCACAGAAAAGAGACAUGUUCAUAUUCUUUAAGGAGAAAAGUUAAUAGAAAAUUGCAACUCUUAUCGUUCAACAAAUGAAUAAAAUGCAUCUCAACAUCUUGCACAAAUUUUUAACUAAUAAUUACAUAGGUGUUGGACUCUUUCUAUUGGCAAAUGCUUACUGCUCAUGCUUAUGCUCCUGAUGUAGGACAGAUUUAAUGAAAAUAUUUUGUUCCAUGGUACCAAUAAUGAGUACAUCUUCUAUUACAAUUAUCACUCUGUUCAAGUUAUGAUCAAACAUAAGUAUAUUGCAGUUAAAUUUUGCAUUAAAAUAAAAUUUAUUUUUAUGUAAAAUUAUAUUAAUUUUAAAAUAAUUAAGAUUAAGACCUAUAAAUAAUAAACUUUAUCUUAUAUUUUGUGCAAAUUGAUAGUGGUGGUGAAGUAAUUAGUAGAAUAAACUUCUUUGUGUAUACUAUAAUUAAUACAUAUGUAUAGUAUAAUGUGUGAAUGUAGUUCUAUGAUAAAUAUUAAUUAUAAAAUUUUUUAGCACAAAUUUGAUAGCAACACAACAUCAAACUUACAACACUUGUUUAAGCGGACGAGUGAGCUGACCACUCGACCAACCCAAAUUGGUUUAAAUGUUAUUUAAUAUAUAUCUAUAUUUUUGGUGUGUACCAGGGUAUCCAUCAGGCCGGAAGCCCAAUGACUAAUCCCUCGGGUACUGCAGAGGCACACAAAGUGGGCGACCCUCCCAAGCAAGCAAACUCCAUUCCCAUCCUCCAGUGAGUAUCGAACCCGGGAGAGAUGGUUAAGGGACACAGACCCUCAUCCAUCUGUGCCAAAUAUAAAGCUGAUGUUACUCACGAAAGAUUUUGGUCUAGCCCAUAGGAAAUUUGUACCUCGCCCAAAUUUCAUUUUAUUCAAAAAAGUUUUGUUUGAAAAGUCCUGGUUCAAGAAGCCUAGUCCCCAAUCUACAAAAUUUGCAAAACCCUAACCCCUACCACCACCGUUUAUUUAAAGUCUUUUCUCGCCACUACCUCUCAUCUCUCAACCUCAGUUUCAUUUCAAAUCCAAGGUACUCAUUUCUUCCUUUUCACUGUUAUGUGAUGUUAUUGUUUAUAUUUCUACACAUUUCGAAGAUUCUCUAGUGCUCUAUUUCGUAGUCUGUGAGUUCAAAAUAUGUGCAAAAUCUCAUUUCAUCUUCUUCAUUCACAUUCUCUUGCGUGUUGUUCAUAGCUCGAGGACCUUGUACAAAAUCAUGAACAUUCUCUAUUCAUUGAUUUCCAUUAUUCUAUGGUUUUUAUUUGUUUAAUUAGUAUUAGUGUGCUUAUGGACGGUCUUGUGUUGAUUAGUUACCACAUCAUCACAUAACAUAAACCUAAGCUACAUUUAAUGUUGCCUCAGUGUAUAUCUUUUAGUGUCUUCCUAUGAUUAAAUCGGAAAGGUUCUAUUGCAUUGUGGCAAAUAUUGCAUCAUAAGUUAGCUAGUUUUAGUCUUGAAAUUAUAUGAUUUAGAAUGGUGACCACUCAUGAAGCUGUCCUUCAUGGAAGGACUAUAGGCAAUAAUUGAUAGAUAGUUUGACUGUUAAAUUACUCUACUAUUCUGUUUUACCAAAUUUGUAAUUAAGUCGGCCAUGGACUUGAAUCUACCAAAUAAUAAGAAUGCCUCUGAGAUUCAAUCAUAAACCACUUUGCCUCGUUUGUAUGUAAACCCCCCUUCACCCCCACCCCCACCCCUAAAGAGAAUUGGCUUCUUGGGAAUCCGCUGCAGUAAGAUAGUAGAGGAGUUUACACCGGGACUCUCUUAAUAGAGAAAGAACCCAUCCCAGGGGAAAGGCGAUAACGACCCAGGACUGCAAGAUGUGCAAGAUAUGCUAAAAAAUUUAAUCAGUCCACUACGAAAUGACCUCUUGUACAUGAUUUCAGGGAAGUGGUCAAGGACUUAGGCAAUCAGAGAAAAGAUUUAAAAGUUUUUAAUUAGUUUUCUGUAUCAUUUUGAAUUUUAUAAUUAGAUCCUUAUGCGUAAAGAAAGUUAAAAUUAACUAAAGAUUCUGAGAAUGAGAAUAUAUUAAUGUUUAGGAACUUGGCCUGUAAGUUUGAGUAUUUUCAAUUUGAAAAAACUAUUCUGAUAACUCAAGUAUUUUUGGCAUAAUAAGAUUUAAUUAUAAAAUUAAAAAAAUGUAGAGAAUCAAUAAAAAAUUUUUAAAUGGUAAAAAAUUAAGUGUAAUUUUGUUAAAUGAUAGAGACAAACAUGGUAAUUUAACCUAAGUACUUUUAUUUAAGCACAUCUUUUCUAGUCUUUUUUUUAUAUUUAAGUAUUUAAAAAUAAAAAAUCAUCAAACAAUAGUGUACUCCAAAAAAUAAAGUAUUCGAGUCAUAGUCAUNNNNNNNNNNNNNNNNNNNNNNNNNNNNNNNNNNNNNNNNNNNNNNNNNNNNNNNNNNNNNNNNNNNNNNNNNNNAUUAUAUUAUUUUUAUUUUGAUUAAAAUUAGAAUAAUAAUUUAAUAAUAAUUAGUUUCAAAGAAUAAAACAUCUUCAUGCGAUCAACUUUUGUCAGGAACAAAUUACACUUGUAUAUGAUACGAUUAUAUGAUUUAUUGAAGACAUGUAUGAUGGGGCUACAAUUAGUGUGAAGACUCAAGGUGGUGUGACAGAAGAAUUUUCUAUUGGUAUAGGAUUACACCAGGGAUCAUCCUUAAGUCUAUACCUUUUCACGUUAGUCUUGGAAGUACUCACAGAGUACAUCUAAGAGCCUGUACCAUGGUGCUUGUUUUUUGCCGAUGAUAUCGUCCUUAUGAGAGAGCCAAGGGAAGACCUAAAUAAGAAGUUAGAGUUAUGGAGAGAAGCUCUAGAAGUGUAUGGUCUGCGCAUAAGCCGUAGCAAGACGAAAUAUAUGGAAUGUAAGUUCAGUCUGAGAAGGAAAAAUUCUAAUAUAGAGGUGAAGAUUGGAGAAAACAUUCUAUGAAAAGUUAAAAGUUUUAAGUAUAUUGGGUGCAUCAUACAGGAUAAUAGAGAGAUUGAACAGGAUGUAAAUAAUAGGAUCCAAGCAGGUUAGUCAAAAUGGCGGAGUGCAUCUGGUUUUAUAUGCGACAGAAAAGUGCCUUUAAAACUUAAAGGUAAAUUCUAUCGCACCGCUAUAAGACCGGCUAUGCUUUAUGGUACGGAGUGUUGGGCGGCUAAAGGGGAGCACGAGUAUAAGUUGAGUGUGGCAGAGAUGAAGAUGUUGAGAUGGAUGAGUGGUCAUACGCGAUUGGAUAAAAUAAGAAACGAAGAUAUAAGGGAGAGAGUUGGAGUAGCACCCAUUGUGGAAAAAAUGGUUGAAUCACGUCUCAGGUGGUUUGGACAUGUGAGAAGAAGACCAAUAGAACAUCCAGUCAGGAGGGUGGAUGAGAUGGAAGAUGGACAAGGGGCGAAAGGCAGAGGAAGACCUAAGAAAGAGGAGCUUAACACAUAAAGUGGAGCAUAGAGAACACACUCCGAUAAGACAAAAUGAUAAACCCUGUAACCUACAAUAACAUAUACCCCUUUGUUAUCUCUGGCAUUGCCAUCAACAACAAAAGGAUCCACACCUAACCACUCCUUGUAACUCAGAAAGGACAUGUUAAUAAUCUCCUCAACUCCUUUUCCUUUGUUUUGGAAGAUCCUUCUGUUCCUUUCCAACCAUAAGUUCCAGGUGAUCGCACAAAAGUAUACCAUCCAUUUCUUGCACUCCGCCUUCCUUUGUGAUAUCUCUGUCCAGCUUAAGAAAUGCUCAUUCAACGUACCUGGGCAAGACCAUUGUCUACCGACAUACGAUAACCAUGCACACCAAACCUGCCAAGCAAAACUACAGCCAAGAAACAAGUGGUGACCAAACUCAAUACUUUCGUUACAUAAAACACACAAGGUAUCUUAUUGGUUGAUAGCCCCAAACCGACUCAGUCUCUCCUUUGUACUAAUCCUGCCAGUCAAAGCAAACCAAACAAACAACUCCACUCAUGGCGAGACUAGUCCUUUCCAAAUAGUUUUAGUAAAGUUAUAGCUUGUGAUAUCCUCCAGGACCAUUUCCGCCUGCAUUACCUGCACAAAAGAGUUAGUUGAAUAAAUUUCAUGUUUAUCAUAUUUCCACACAAUCCUAUCCUCUCUGUCAUGUGCAAGCCUGACCAGCCUUAAUGCAUCGUGUAGCUGGUUCACUAGAUCUAUCUCCCAUUGGAACAGUUGUCGUCUCCAUUGGAAGUUUCAUAUCCACUCUAACCCAUCCCAAAACCCACAAUCCCCUAUCACUGAUCCCUUUUGGUUUGAAAUAGAGAAGAGUCUUGUAAAACGAUCUUUCAACGAACCUUCAGAAAGCCAGACAUCUUCCCAAAAGCGAGUACCUCUCCCAUCCCCCACCUCCAUAGACAACCCAGUGAUCAUCUUCUAUCUCACUUCUUGAUUCUUGAGCUGUAACUGACAAAUAUCCCUCCACGGCCCCCCGAGCAGGUAUUACUUGGUUGGCCAGGGGCACAUUUGGAUCCAGGUUAUUGCAGGAACAAACCACCUUCUUACACAGCGGACACUUCUCCUUUGAAAAGCGUCACCACCAUUUAAACAGAAGAGCUGUGUUGCAGACCACAGCAUCUCCAACUCCCAGUCCGCCUAGCCUUCUAGGAGCCUGUACCACUUCUUACUUAACCAUAGCCAUACCAUUCCUCCCAUCCUCCUUACUCCAAAGAAAUCUUCUCUGCAAGGAAAUCAGCUUCUCAGCAACAGCCUUGGGCAUCUUAUAUAAGCUCAAAUAAUAAACCGGCAAGCUAUUCAACACAGAUUUGAUAAGCACCAACUUGCCGGCUUUAUUAAGGGCCUUGGCCUUCCAAUGGCUAAACUUUUCCUCCACUUUAUCUAUUAUUGGCUUCCAAGUCUUAACCAACCUCAGAUUAGCUCCAAGUGGGAUCCCCAGGUAUUUUACUGGAAGGGUGGCAUCCUUACAACCCAGCACCCUACACAUACGUUGUACACACUGCUCGUUACAAUUAAUAGGAAUCAAGUUAGAUUUAUCAAAAUUAAUACUUAAGCCUAACAUCAACUCAAAGCAACGAAGCAGCCUUCUGUAAUUUUUUAUGGUCUCUUCCUCAGGCGGGCAGAACAACAUUGUAUCAUCUGCAAACUGAAGGUGCGACAGCUCUAUAUGAUCUCUUUCUACCAAUAACGGAGAUAUACGGCCGUUCCUGAUAGCCUCUCCAAUCAUCCGAUGUAGCACGUCAACCACAAGUACAAAUAAGAAAGGAGACAAAGGAUCAUCUUGUCGCAGUCCUCUUUCCAUCUUGAAAGGCUUAGAAGGCGAGCCGUUAAUCAGCACUGACAUAGAACACGUACUGACAAAUUACAUUAUCCAACCCCUACAUCAUUUUCCAAAGCCCAUCUUUUGUAGUACAAGGUCCACAAAACUCCACUUAACUGUAUCAUAUGCUUUCUGGAAAUCCAAUUUUAUAAUUGCCGCUUCCUUCUUCCUCAGCUUGAACCAUUGGACAAUUUCACAUGCGAUAAGGGCCCAUCAUGAAUCUUUCAACCUUUGACAAAAGCACUUUGUGUCUCACCUACUAGCCCUGGCAUAAUUUCUCGCAUUCUCCUCACCAGCAACUUCGAGAUCACCUUAUACACACACCCAACCAUGCUAAUUAGUCGCAGGUCUUUGAUUUUCUUAGCACCAGUAAACUUGGGGGCUAGCGCCACCCACGUAACAUUAGCAUCUGCCGGUAGCUUUGAAUAUUGGAAGAAAUUCAAUACUGCUGCCGUGAAUUCAUUGCCAAUUUCAUCCCAGCACUUCUUUAUGAAGUUCAUGUUGUAGCCAUCACAUCUAGAGCCUUAGCAUCCUCCUCACUGAUCACAUCCACCAGACCAUCUCUGAGUCCCACCAACGGAGACUUCUCUUGAUGAUAUAAAUUUUUGUAGAACUCGUUGAUGGCUAUCUUGAUCCUAGCUUGAUUUCUUAUCAAACGUCCAUUAAUGACCAGUGCAACAAUCCUAUUAUUUCUCUUUCUUGCAGACGCUAAGUUGUGGAAGUAUCUUGUAUUUUUAUCCAUGUCCCUCACAUGCCUAGACCUCGACAUCUGCUUCCAAUGUAGUUAUUUCCUCACAUACCAUUUCUCACAGCACACAACUAAUGCCUUUCUUCUUGCCUCCACCGUUCCAUCAUAAACUCUGUUACCCACCAUAUCAUCUAUCUUCUUGAUCUCUUCCUCAAACUUCAUAAUUUUCUUGUCCAUGUCCCCAAAAUUAGCUCUAUGCCAUCUUUCCAAAGGAUCCGUCAAUGCCUUCAAUUUCUCAGUGAACUGUAUCUCUCCUAACUCCUUCCAUUCCUCUUUGACCAUCCUUAGAAACCCUUCAUGCGUGAACCAUGAAUCUAGACUUCGAAACGGUCUCGAACCCUCCCUUGGCCUCUUAUCAUCCACUAUAAUAGGACAGUGAUCUGACAGGCCCCAUGACCCCCCUCUCAAGCGAGACUCAGGGAACACCUCAAGCCAUUCCAGGCUAACCAGAGCUCUAUCAAUACGGCUACAAGAUCGCCCUCUAAACCAUGUAAAUCUACGGUCAGUCAGCGGCAAGUCUACCAGUCCCAUGUCAUUUAUCUAAUCCUUGAAGUCUUCUGCCAACAGAGGUAGCCUAUCAUUGCCACGCCUUUCCUCCACCUGUAGAAUCUCAUUAAAGUCCCCCAAGAAACAACAGGGACCGUAACACAAACCGGCUAUGUAGCUCAAUUCCUAACACACAACAAGUUUUUCAUCUCUUGAAUGCGAGUCAUAGACCAGGAAGAAUGCACAGAUAACACUAUUUUCCUACAAUAUCCCUUCAACGCACAACCACCUCUCUCCUUUAUAGCAAUUUCUCAUAUUAAAGAAGUCAUUAUCCCAUACUAACAACAGUCCACCAGACGCACCAUUAGACCCCACAUAUUCCCUUCCCGCACCAUUCCCCCAAAUUUUUAAGACAUCAAAUCUGGUCACUAUUUAUCUUUUAUUCUCUACCAGGCCUAACAAAUUCAAUCUAAAUUUUCUCUUUAAUUCCUUUACCAUCCCCAACUUCCCAUCGCCCCUUAACCCCCUAACAUUCCAAGAACUUAAAAUCAUUUUAAGAUUUUAUUACACACCUUUUUGUGAAUUUUGGGCCUAUUCCGUCUUGCUUUAGCCUUCUGUUUUGCCAGUCUUCUCUUUUGAACAAUUUCUUCAUUCUAUUCUUGGAGGAUAGUCAUAAUGUCAUCUUCUUCAUUACACGGCAUAGAUCCUGAUUCUUUGGCUAAUUCCCAAGUCUUUUUAUUUUCCAUCAUGUGCUCCUCCAAUCUUGGAUACUCUGUGCUGCUGCCGUCAUCAUAAUGGUCAUGCUCUUCUUCUCCUAGGUGGUCCUGUCUGUCACCAACACACUGUCUAUCAUACUGAUCCGAGAGCUUUCUGUCCCCCAAGGAGCCGAUUCCAAGACUUUUAUUAGCUAAUUCUUCCUUAUCUCCACCGGCGAAUUCCAGAAUUACUACCAUUAUCUAGUUCGAUGUCCACCCCUUCAUUUACAGCCUCAACCCCUAGUAGCCUUUCAUCCCACAUCUCAGGCCCAACAACCCUUUCUGCUUGUUUUCUACUUAUUUGGUCUUCUGCUUCAACCGCUUGGCUCCCUCUUUCAUUUUUCUUGCCACCAACAGCUCCGGUUACCCACUGCCCACCACCAACUGACCGGGGAGUGGCUUCGUUGACAAUUAAUGGCCGCUGCCGCCUCCAUCGCCAUGCGCCAGUCGAGCUUCUCCACGGGCUGCACGUACUCCCCGCGCCAAAACAGUGUCCACCAAACAGAGCCCCCGAUGUGAGCCACCACCAUUCAAUUGCUCGUGUUGGUUGCCUUCAGCGCAGGGGACUCCCUCGCAAGCCGUAGCGCCAUCGCCCCCUAAUGCGCAAGGAAUCCCUAGCAGCCGUGAAUCAUUGCCAGAUCCGGUUCCUUCCCUUUGGUGUUCGCUGACCCGACCCAGCACACGCGGAUCCAGCCCAGGAGAGUCCUCAGCAGCGCGCUUCUUAACAUUAGAAACAGUCCGUAGGCCCUCUUGGCCCAUAGCACAUCUACUAUAGUUAUCAGCAUUGCUGGCCCAGCCCACCUUAUUAUAUAUAUCACAUUUUAGCACACACCUUGCCCAGCCCAUUAUGGUUAUCAUUAUAGCUCCAAGGGACGGUAGCCUCUGAAUCCACUUCGUUACUGUAAUCAUAUCUCACCAAAUUUGCCGAGUAUUCAUUAUUGCCAUCAAUUGGCUGAUACGUUAUCAGUUUCCAUUGAUAGUGCCUUGAAUUGUCAUAACUCCACUCAUUCAAAAUCGAGUCUGAAUUUAUGAUUAUAUCCUCAUCGUCAACCACUUUCCGUCGCACCUCCGUAGCAACUACCGCUGCCUGAUCACCAUAGUCUACCAGCUUUGUUGGCCCUAUAGACGUUGUAGCUACACCCUUGCAUACCUUUGUCGUUUGAUUUUUCAAGUGACUCGGUACAGCAACACUAUUUGCCACAUUAUCCACAUUACAUUGCCAACUAUAGACUUUCCGUCCCUCCUCUUUUACUAGUACAUCAAAUCCACUGGUACCUAUAGUAAUAUGAACCCAUUCAUUGAUCACAUCCAUAGCACAGGUAUAAAAAAAAAUACUAUAUAACAAGAAGUAAUUAACAAAGUCAAGGGUUUCUCUGUUCAUUAAAUUUUCUAUUUGAAUCUAUUCCAUACAAAAUUUUUAAAUAGAUACAAACCUAAAUGUAAAAGAAUGACAAUUUGAUAUAUAAAUUUUAAAAGGUUGGCGAUUCAAUAAAAAAGUAUGCGUUUAAAUCAUAAUAGUUAGGAACAACAAACAAGUUUCCAUAAAUAUAUAUUUUCUAUGUAAUGAGUUGAAAUAUCAUCAAAUAAAUUAGAUGUGGAAAAUAAACACAUUGGUGGGAAGAGCAGCGUGAAUGGUUUUCAAUGUGUCCACUCACAGCAGGUUAGAGGAUUAUUAUCGAGUCAUUUAGAGGUUUUUUAACUGACAAACGUAUAUAAAUUUCUAGAAGCAAAUAUAUAUAUAUUAAUUACAGUUAGAAUAAAUAUUGGGAGCAAUGCAAGUUGAGCAUAAAUCGGCAAAAGCCAUGGUUGGUGAUGCACUCAGUUUGAGAGGUACCUCUAUUCGGUCAUGCUUUAUAUAAUGAGAACUUGGAAGUUAAUUGGAACACAUCCCCCACCUCUUAAUGUUAAUAUUAAUGGCGUUGACCAAAAGUAAUUUUACACAAACCUUUAAUUUCCUUCCCAGAAAUUAUGUUCAACUUGUUUCAAUUGGGAGGUGGAGAGGUAUAUGGGGACGUAAUGAGGAUACGAUGAAUUAAAUUUGAAUUAUUUCUAAAAAAAAAAAUUGCUAAUAUUAAUUAAAAGCAGAUCAAAUUAUUUUAAAGUAAACAAGUUAAUAAAGGUGUUUGUUACGAUACGAUGAUAAAUUCAUACGUACCGAUAUAUUUAAAUACGGACAAGUAAUAACAAGCCAUGUGGAAUUUAUUUUCUACAUCAGUAUUUAAUUUUUUCUUUUUUAAAUAUAUAUUAUAUCACCACUUUUACUAAUACACCCCUUUAAUUAAAUUAAAAUAAAAAUAUAUUUUUUAUUUAAUUUUAUAAAAAGUCUUAAACAUCUUUCCUUUAUUUGAUUAGACAAAAAUAUCCUUUUAAAUUAAUCAAAUUUUAAAAUUCAAUUAAUCAUAAUUUUAUAGUUUCAAAUAAUUGAAACAACAAAAAAAAACAUAUUAAAAAAACAAAAAAUCAAAAUUCUUCUUCAUCUGGGUUAAACAUAUUAAAAAAACAAAAAACCAAAAUUGUUCUUCAUAUGGGUUCAGAAACCCUCUCGUUCACGCCUCUGAAGGUUUCAGUAUUCUUUAUCUUCUUCUCUCCUCUUCCUAUCCUCUCUCUCUGUCUCUCUCUGCUCGAUCUCUCUCAUCUGUCUCACUGUGCGUCGCACGCAAGAUCUCUCCCUCUCUCCUCUCUUGUCUCGCAAUCGAGGUCAUCGCCAGCGUUUCAACGUCUCGCGGCCUUCCCUGUGCUCCUCCUCGCCGGCAACAGAAGCACUCGUCGGAUCGUCGUCGCUCGUCAUCUUCUGGUUUCAAGUAAUCGCCGUCACGAGUCGCCGUGGAUCGUGGACUGUUGUAGGAUCUUCACUUGCUUCGUCGCUCAUCCUCUUCUAGGGUCGGGUCCUCUUCGUCACCCAGUCGCCCUUGGUAAGUCCACGCAUCAUCACUUCCCCUGUUCUCCCUUUCCCAGAUUCCCUUCUCCCUGUAUUUUGAGAUGAUGUUGAAUUGGUAAUCAAUUAAUUUGUUAGUGAUUGAAUCUUGAAUUUGUUGCUAUGUUGCUGAAUAAUCAUCGAGUUUAAUUUUUUUUUCUUUGCUAAAAAUCAUCAGAGUUGAAUUUGUUACUAAUUAUCAGGGUUGUUGACUGAUUAUUUGAUCUUGCCUAGCUUGUUGAAUGAUUAUUUGAUCUUUCUCAAGUUUCCGUAUAAGUUCUGGCCAAGUGGAUCCGAAAAGGAAUUCUUCAUAUAUGCUCACGAGUGACGAGGCUACUACACAUUUUGGCAGGUUUUUUUUUGUAACUUCCCUCAUUGGAUGCCAGUUCAUGUUUCCAUAAUGUAAUUUAAUACUGUGUUCUGUUUUGCUCUCUUUGUUUAUCUUUUGUUUCUCUUGUCAAUGAAACUUGAAGCUAUUGUCAUCUGAUCUAUUGAUUAGGAUUAGGGUGAAUAGAUAACAAACUUUACAAUAUAUGUUCUAUGUGAAAUAGUUUACAUAUGAAAUACUUUAUCCCACAUGGUUGAGCGCUAGUUGGAUCAUUUGAUGCUGUUGGUUACUUAAAAAUUUUUUGAACCAUGUGGCCUCACAACUUAAGAUUCUGGCUCUGCCACUGUUAAUAGGACUCUCACCUAAUGUUUUCUGGAAUGUGCUUAUGUUGAUAAUGCAUCUUUGCUUCUCCGGAUGAAGGCUUAUGAUUUGAUUUCAAUAUGAAGCCAUGGUGGGUACUGACUUCUUGUUGUAACAGGGCACUGGCCUGGUGGCGUUAGUGGAAUGUUAGCAGGGGGUGCUGCUGCUGCGGCCGCUAUGUAUGGUGCUCACCAUUUGACUCAUGCUCAUUAUGGUCAUCAUCAUGGGUUCUUUGGUCAUGGGAAGUUUAAGAAUGGGAAAUUUAAGCAUGGCAAAUUCGGCAAGCGUUGGAAGCAUGGCAUGUUCAAGCGAUGGAAGUGAUACUGUGGCCAAUAUGGUGUAUGGUCAUGACUCAUGAGGGUUGUAUUCUGGGAUGAAUAAUGUUUACUAUUAGCAACUUAGUUUUUGUUGCAAUGCAUGCAAUGAAAUAGUUUAACACUAUUUUGUCAAUUGUUUUUGUUUUGCCUUUUGUGAUUAUGUGUGUGAUUCCUGUAUAUAUGUAUAUAAGAAAGCCAUCUUCCUUGAUGAGUUUGUCUUGUUUUCUUAUGAUUUUUUCGAUUUUUCCCAUUUACAACUGCUUCAUGUUUGAGCAGUUCAGUAAAUUUUACUGAUAACCCUUCAAAGUCAAACACUGUUUACCUUUAACGCAAUUUGACAUGAAUUUGGUGUAUCUUUGCAUUCAAAAUGAAACACUUUUCACGGGUUAUUCUGUUCGCAUAAGUUAACAUGAAAACUUAUAUCUAGAUGUCAAUCUACAUUAUCUUAAGUUGUGUUAUGACUGUUAUUAAUUUAUAUAUUUUUUGGUCAUAUGCGUUAUAUGGGUUCCUCAUUUUAAUAAUUUAGUACAUUCUUACAUCAAUUUAUCUAGAUAAAGAUGUAUAGAAUUUUUUCCAUGACAGGAGUUUAUUAUCCAAAGACCAUUAAGGUAGAAUGGCAUCACAAAGAUCAUUGUGCUCAAAUGCCACAAAGGACAAGAUGAUCAACUUCAACAAAUAAAUAAGGCAUAAAAAUAAAGGGCCAACAUAAUGAAAUUAGAGGAAACACUCCCUGUAAGCCAUUGUAGGCAAACUAUUAGCUUGAAUAUCAGUGAUACCGGAAGUGAUCAAAUACUUUCAUAUUCACAGAAACUCAGAAAUUACCUGGCAAUCAUUAUACUAUUCCAAAUAGUAUAUUCAGUUGAAAAACUAAUCACCAGCAUCAACUAAACCAUCUUUUUUUAUACAUCUUUGGCAUAUUCUGUUGUAAAGUCGAUCAUUAUUGUCACCAUGUUCAGCUUCAAGAUUUAAAAUGUCAUUGAUUAUAGCCUAAUAUGUUUCCUGACUCAAUUUGCCAUCAGCAUUAACCAAAAUGUAUUGGAAAUAAGGAAAGGAAUACUGAAAGAAUUGAAGGAAGUCUCUUUACCCAGGAUAAUACAAUAAUGAAAGCAUGUCCAUGUUCAACAAUUUGCAAAUCAAAGACACUAAUUCCAUUGAGAACAGGGUUAUAAGUGUUAAUUCUAUUGCUACUUACGAAUAACCAAAUAUAACUAAUAAUUUAAAGGAAGCUGAUGGAGUGAAUAGAAUAGAGACCAAAGUAAGAAGAGGAGCAACAAUCAAUCUCUAAACCACCACAAAGCUUGAACGGAACUAUGGUCUUAUGCUUAAAUAACCCUAUUGGCAAUGACAAAAUCGUAAUGAAGUCUAACAUAAAAGCAUGAAUAAGUCUGACAUAUAGCAAAGAGAAGGCAUGUGCUAAUAUCUGCUAAGUUCCAUGUGUUUAUCCAGAAUUUUAUUCAGAUUCAUACACAGUCAAUAACUAAUAACAUGAGAAAGUAUAAAUUGGUACAAUAAAAAUACCAGGUUUUUGUGUUGAAAUUAGAAUGUUUCAGCAGAAAGAAAGAAAGAGGAAUUAAGCUACUUUGAAUAAUACAAUUUAGGAAUUGAUCAGCAAUUCAUCAUAUUGAGAUUGUUUUCAACAAAUCUAUGACCUCAUUCGUACUAAUACUUAAGGUCAGUUACCAUAGAAUUAAAGAACAAAUCACCCAAGAAGAACUACAUGGCAAUCAUGAAAAUUAAAACUUCUAUGGAUUUCAACUAAAGACCUAAAUGAUAAAUAGCUAUAACGAGUAAUGUUUCUUUCAAGACUCGUAAUAUAUACAAAAUAAUAUAGUAUUUGACAGGUCCUUGUGCGAAAUUCAACUUGCCGCAUAUUCAGACAAGACAUUGUUGUUUUCAUGGAAUCAAUAAAUUUUGAGGAAUUAAGCUUACUAGAAAGGCCUACCAAAACGGCAAUACAUUUUCUGCAUCUGUCACCUUCCUCAAGAAACAUUAUGCCAAUAGCAGCACUCGAUUCAUCCUCUACAAUGCCUUGAUUGACUAAGUGUUCAAACCAUUAACAAUUUCUAGAUUUAGAUUGCUCACUCUUCCUGUGGAACCCGUAACUUCCAUCCUGUUGCAAGAGGAAUUAUUAUUUAGUAAACAAACACACAAGCCCCAUAUCCAGCACACAACUAAGACAGAAAAAACAAAAUACUAGAUUGUAUAACAGAACUAAAUUUCAAUCACCAAAAGAGUAUAAAUUCAUACAUAGGCAAUAGAUACCUCGGCAAGUCACCACACAUAUCAUUCCCUACCCCUCAACAUCCACUAGAUUCCUCCCCAAAAAAUACAAAACAUAUUAAGAUACAUACAUGUGAAUCUAAAUAUACAUAUGAGCUGAGUAACUUUACCUUUUUUCCCUGAUCAGGCAGCAUAUUCAAAACUGAGCAUAAAUGAACUUUUAAGUAUUUAAACAAAAGCUGCAUCAACCAGCCCCUUCUCUCGGGUAUAAUCCAAAUCACUCGACCUCCCACUUCCACUUCAAAAUCCCAGAAAAAAAGAAAAAACCCCACUUGCACUAGAACUCCCACAUCAAGAGGGAAUGAUCAAAAUGCAAAGAAAUAUCCCUCAGAGCUAAUAAAUAAAUAAGAUAAAACAAAAGUAAAAGGAAAAAUCUUCACUUCAAAUCCCAACAGAGCUCAAUUCAUAUAUUAAAGAUACUAAUAUUAGCUAAUAUGUAUUGAUUUUGAAUCUAUCUAAUUAUGAUCAAAUCAAUCAUAAUGUCAAAAUGGCAUAAUAAUAAGCAUCACUAGCGAAAAAAUCAUAAAACAUAGAAGUAAUAAUGAUGGUCAAGAAAACCCACCCUUAAAAAUAAGAGUCCCGCUAGGGAGACAAUAGGAUAUCUGUACAAUGUAUACAAUGGGUUGUUUAUAUGGCCCAAUAUGAAAUAAAAUUAAAAAUAACCCACAUUUAUUCUAUAUUCAAAAGGGAUGUUCAUUUUUUAUGUUUAACAAAACCACAUAAUCCCUAAUCCUAAUUUUCAUCCAUUCCUCUAAUCUCAACUGACGGUAACCCUAUCCAGAACAGCUACCCAAAGUCGCCGCUGAACAUCCCAUCCCCGCGCCUCCACCCGACCUUGAACCUGCACCGACGGUGAACAGAACUGUAGCGCCAUUGCCUCCUUCGCACGCGUCAACCCUCCCAGGCAGCAACCGAUUCGCUCCCUUGCCGCUGCACGUCCUACCGCCGCAGGACCUGGAGCCUCCAUCAGCGCCGACCCGAAGUGCACCGCCCAUCCUUCCUACGCGCGCGUCGACCGUGCCUGGUGACAGCUAUUUCGCUUGGCAAGGGAACUCUGGAUCGGGUGUCUUUUGCAGCGCCAAUAACACGGGUCGGGUGCGUGACCUGCGUCAGCCUGCGGGCUGGGUCCUGCUUCCGGGGUCCGCCAGUUGAAGCCGUGAGCACAGAUUGUCGUCGACAACCCACGGUUAGUUGGCUAAAUUCUGAUUUUCAUGGUCCCUUUUGUUGUUGCUUCUAGCUGUAUGUAUAGAUUAUGUUGCUGAGGUGCCUGAUUGUUCAUAGUUAAAACUUCAGCUGUUGCAAUUUGAGUGAAUUGGACCGUUUGGCAUAAUAUGUUGGUGUAGAUGGUUGCAAUUGAUGUACUGUUUGCGCACGAAGAGUCACAAAAGUUCGGUUUAAAUAUCAUAUUGUUUUUUUCCUUUCUCGCUAUGUGGACCUUUACAUGCAAUGUGGGGUAAUUUAGUUAACCUGCAGCGUGCUUUAGUUGACAUUAAUUAGAUGGUUACAUUAUUAUGUAAUCGGAUGGUUGGUUUUCAUAGUCGAUUUCUGCUUACUUGACUAAAGUUUUUUUUUAUUUUGGACGGGUUUUCCUCUUAUGUAACUAAGCUUGGAAUAUAAGUCAUGAGAAAGUAAAUAUGGUUACUUUGUGGACAUUUGGAGAAUUGAUUUUCAUGAUCGUGAAUGCCAUUUUGAUUUUAUUAUGUUGAAGGCUUGUUUGAAUCUGUUGAUGUUUGAUGGUUUUUUUUUGUCUCUUUUUGUUUAGUAAACAAAUGCAUACAUGAUCAGAAUUUUCUCAUUAGAUUAUGUUGUUGAGGUGCCUCAUUGUUCAUAGUUAAAACUUCAGAUGUUGCAAUUUGAUUGAAUUGAACCGUACGGCCGUAGAUGGUUGCAAUUGAUGUACUAUUUCGCAGGAAGAGUCGCAAAAGUUCGGUUUAAAUAUCAUAGUAUUUUUUUUCUUUCUCGCUAUGUGGACCUUUGCAUGCAAUGUAGGGUAAUUUAGUUGACCUGCGGCGUUCUUUAGUUGACAUUAAUUGGAUGGUUACUUUAUUAUGUAAUCGGAUGGUUGGUUUUCAUAGUCAAUUUUUUGCUUACUUGACUAAUUUUUUUUUAUCUUGGACGGGUUUUUCUCUUAAGCAACUAGGCUCAGAAUAUAAGUCAUGAGAAAGUAAAGAUGGUUAUUCUGUAGACAUAUGGAGAGUUGAUUUUCAUGAUCGUGAAUGCCAUUUUGAUUUUAUUAUGUUGAAGGCUUGUUUGAAUCGGGUGAUGUUUGAUGGGUUUUUUUUUUCUCUUUUUGUUAAUUAAACAAAUGCAUGCAUGAUCAUCAAACCAAGUUCUGAUUUGAAAUAGCAAGUCCUGGUUUUUUUACUGAAAUCAAUGCCUAAUUUAAUAUCCAUUGGUAUGGUUGUUUUUUAGAUGUAAACAUUGCUUUCUUGGGCUGCCAUGUUGUUGCAUUGUGUGAAACUAAUUUACCUUGAUGAUUUCUGUGUUUAUAAUUGGUUGAGCUGGUCUCGGAUACCCAUUAAAUUCUUGCUGAGGGAAUCCAUUCUGUUUCUGAGGGAAUUCUCUCUAAUUUUUUACCAGGUUAUAUACCGAAGAGCAUCUUGCACUGGGUUGCAGAGGACAUAGUGAAUAAUUACCCAGUAACUACGUUCCAACUGUCCUGAAUUCUGCAGUCGUCAAAGAAAAAUCAGAUGGGCAAAUGACUUGAAUUUGGUUAAGCAUUGAAUUCAUGAUCGUUAACUUUGAACAAAGUUCUUGUGAUUUAAAGUAGGCUGCUUAUGUUUUAGCGUAACGUUGAAUUUGCUUGUUUGGCUAAUGUACUGGUUAAAGUAUUGGGAGUUUAUUAUGGGACAGUAGCAGGACGUAGUUGUGGUCGAUCUUUUUACUUUUUGAAUUCUUGUGACUCUGUUGAUCUAUAAUUAUUUAGGCAUGACAUAGUUACUAGUUAAUCAAAAUGAACAUCCAUGUUGUUUAUGAAAAUAACCAUCCAUAUGCUUAUUGAAAUGAACAUCCAGCUUCUUAUGCCUUGAUUCAGGGAUUCAUGUUUCGUAUCUCAAAGGGAAUGACUUGAAUUUGGUUAAGCAUUUAAUUCACGAUCGUCAACCUUGAGCAAAGUUCAUGAUCGUUAACUUGAACGGGUGCUAAAGUGAACACAGGGCGAAGCCCCGAAAUCAACCAUCGACUUAUACAGUAAUUGUGAACAUCUAGUUAUUUAUAACAUAUGUGUGUAAGUAUAAUAAUAAAGUCACUACACUAAGUGGUGUUAUAUAAUCUAAAUGACCGAACAUCCAACAUAUGUUUUGAAUCGUAUAUUUCUUUUGAAAAAAACAAAAGAAAAGUGGUACUUGUCAUCACAAAAACCAAACACAGUUUGCAACAAGAUAUGAUAACUUAGAAACUUCAUAGCAGGGGUCCAAGGGAGAGCUUAAUUGGCUUUGCUCUAACUUUUUCAUUUUUUUAAUUCUUUCUUGAAAGUGGUAUUGUUUCCGUGUCACCAAUGGACCCUGCUAGUCUUUGAGGAAACUAUAAUAAACUUUGGGGACCAUAUUUUUUGUAUGGAUAUGACAAUAAUGCAUGUUAGUUGUCUUAUUUUAAUAAUUUGUACAGUGAUAAUAUAUCAGUUUAUUGUUUCUAAAACAAAGGGAAAAGAAUGCAGUUACAUCAACGCAAUAACACAUUUAAUCUGCUCUAGAAAUAAUGUUUAUCAUCAUACAAUAUAAUAACUAAUAAACUAAUAGAAAUAAUCAUAUUCAGUACAUAGGUUGAUUUUACAACAACUUCGUCAUACAUAAUCUCUUCUACAUUGAGAAGGUGGUCGCCUAAAUACAUCAAGAAGAUGAAAUUGUCAAACUUCACCCGAAAAGCAGCUGCUGUUCAUUAUUUCUAUGGAUCCAAGUGUUGUCUGUUUUCAGAAUCUUUGACCUUCUUUGCUCAAUCUUCAAUGUAUCUACUGUAGGACUCAGAGGUUAGUAAAAAGAUUUCAAGACUAAGUGUUUGUCAUCACGAAAACCAAGCACAUACUUAUCAUUCUACAAACUUUGUUUUCUUUUUAUUUUCUAUACCUUUUGUGAGAAUGCAUAAUAAUGCAGUUAUGUGAACAUCUCAUAACACAAUGUUGGAUCAUUCUUUAAUUAUGUCUCAAAAGAUCAAAUAUUCUAUAACAAACUGCACAUAUCAGGAUAACUAGACCAUUGGCUACAUUCAUUGUAUGCCUAUACUUUAUUUAAAAAAAAUAGAAAAAGAAAAAAAAAGAAAGAAACUCACCAUUAAGUGAAGUUGAUAGAAAUAAGCAAACAAUCCUGAUUCGGUACCUGUUGAAGACUAAGAGGACCCAAAGACCUUGGCUCUUCUUCAAUAUCAUCCCAAAAGCUUUGGUCUUCUGAAAGUUACAAAGUAAUAAUUUCUAUAAAUUUCAUCUUUGGAAAAAAAAUUUUCAAUGAGUAAAUUAAACAUCCAACCUCAUGAGAAAGAAACCCCAAAACAUAGAAAAAUAAAAUAUUUUAGACUAAAAUAAUAAAAAAGGACGUUUAUUAUUCCACAAAAUUCUCAUAAUUUUUUGCGAUUUUUCAUAAAAGAAAGAGAUAAAGGAAGAAAAAAGAAAGAGACUUCAACAUCAUUGUGUUCGGGAUAAAACAAACAAUGAGCAACAGGACAACAAGCCACAACAAAAUUGAGGAAAAAAUAUGGUGAAUAAAGGAUUUAUUUUAACGGUUUAAAUAGUAAUAAUUUUGUUCUCUAUUCAUGGUCAAAUUCAUAUUCAUGUUUAGGCAGAAACAAGAACUUAUUUGUUGCAAAUACAAUAAUGAUAAAAAUAAUAUACAAAAAGAUAGAUAGAUACAGAGACUUACAAAGCCAUUAGUAAGAGAGUUGUGAUCAGUUGGUCCUUGAGUUCCCAUGACUAAUCAGAAUAAUGAUAAAAAAAAAUCCACAAAAUAUCCAACAAACUUUUAUUCAAAUCUGAAAAAUUAAUGACACUAAAAACAUACAAAUUGAAACAUCACUACCAAGAGAAGAUUAUCGUGUUGGUGGGCGUCAGUCGUGGAGAGCAGAAUCGCAACAAGCCCGGUGGUGAGCAGGGAGGAGGCCGUCGGGCAGCAAAUGGUGGCGAGCUUCAACAACCGUGCUAACGAUGGUUGGGGUCGUUGUAUCAUGGUGGAGGGAGACAUGAGGGAGGACGCGUCCGCUGGGGUGCAAUUGAGGAGGCGACGCGAGGGGAGCUUGGUGCGAUGGAUGAUGGCAGCAUGAGGGAGGAAGCGGGGAUGCCGGUGCUGAAAGGAAAAAAGGAGAAGAACGGCGCUGAGAGGAGAUUAGAAUUAGGGCUGCCGUUUGUGUUGAGGUCACUGAGGAUAAUCCUAAUUUUAUUCAAAUUUUAAAUAUGAAACAAUUAAUUAGUUACCUAUAGUUUAAUUUUAAUUACAAUUAAACCCCAUUGUAUGCAUUGUACAAUUAGGAUAUUGGCUCCUCAUACUUUUCCUAAAAAUAAUAAUACUUAUAUCUCUAGUCAAAUGGAGAUAUUAAAUAAUCCGGCAAACAAAUAUCAACACAAACGUAAACAAAAUAUAAUGUCGUAUGUCACUAGACAAUUCAUAUGCCCACAAGAAAAUAAUAAAAACAAAAAUAAUAAAAAAUAUCCUAUGUUGUAAAUCUAAUCCUGUGGGAAUUCAUAAUCAUCACGAUGGUGAUUAUCAUACAGCUUAUUAAGAUUUUCAAUGGCAUUUCUUUUGACCCUAUAGCUGAUCAUAUUAUGAUUCUUUGACACGAGUGAGACGGCAAUCUUCAUGCGAACCCCAUCAUCCACCUAAUAAAAUUUGAAUAAUUAUACAUUAGGCUUAACUACCUAAAUAUAAAAGAAAGAACGAAGGAAAAGAUUAGUGCAUAAUAUUACCUUUAUGUUAAAAUGAUCAUCUUCAACACAAGCUAUCAUCCAACUUGCAACCCGUACACCCGCAUCAUUCCUACAUAUCGAGGAAGCUAUAUUAGAAUAUUAUAUAAUUGCAUAAAUUUCAUAUCAAUAACAACUAAUUAUACGAUCUUACGAUCCAGCUUCGAGGGUGGGAAGGCCUUCUGGCUCUUCAAAUUCAAACUGUGAAGAAAUCAGAUUUGGAGUGGUCUCAAAGUCAUAGAAUGAACGAUCUUCCAAUACCUCGUCCAAAUAAAUGGCUUGUUUAUGUCUAGUUAGAGUUUGCUUUUUUAGUCAUAUAUGUAGAUAAUUAACAAAAAAAAAGGAAAAUAUAGUUACUAAUUUCAAGGCUGUCUUCUUUCGCUUGAACUAUUUCUCAAUGGGAAAUGGGUCUAGCAAAAUAAUUUGUCUUUUAACACGAUCAAUCACUACGAGGUACCAGUGUUCAUGACCUUCAUCAGUAGAUUCAGAUACAGGGAUAAAGACCUAAUCAAGAGAAAGUCAUUUUAGUUAUUAAAAAUAUUUUAUGCCAAUAUUUGCCAAUAUAAAUUUAAAAUUAUAUAAACUUACUCUUUUUAAGCAGUCAACUUUGCCCAAAUAAACAUAUGUGAUACAAGACGGCAGACGGUCGGGAUCCAAUUUUGUCUUCUCUGACAGCUACAUUAUUUCAGCCACUAGUUUAUAUGCGCAAUACAAAUAACAACUACCAAUAUUAUUUUAGUAUACACUCUUAUAUACUGACCGCAAAAGUUGUGGGUAAAAACUAAUAACCACUUUCUCUGGUCAACUCUGUCUUCAUCAUAUCUGCUACUAAGUCUAGCACAAGAGAAAUGAUUGGCUUUCCUGGCAUCAAGCUCCUGAAUACAUCUCUACGAGCUGUAAGCUCUGAAAAAACUAUAUCCUCCUCGUAGCUGCCAAAGAUAAAUUAACAUAAAUAAAAAUAGCUAAACAAAUCAACAACACCGUUAAAAAAUAAAAUUCUAAUUGAGUUUACUUACUUAUCCAUCAAAUNNNNNNNNNNNNNNNNNNNNNNNNNNNNNNNNNNNNNNNGGUCUGCUCUAAUGGGGUUUUUACCUUUUAGGGUUGGGUUUGGUUCACUUUUUGGAGAAAGAAUGGGGAGGGGGUAGUAGCAGCAUUUGUCCUUUUUUUUUUUUAAGAAUCAACAUAAUUUCUAUUUUAUUCUUUUAAUCGAAGAUGUGAAUAAAUAUACUCAUUAUAAAAAAAUUAUACAAGACCAUUCAGAAUAAAUUUAUAAUACAAGAAUAAAAAAAAUAGUACGUACUUGUUCAGAAUUUCAGUUGGUUCUUGACAGAUCUUCAUGUUAGAAAUGGAACUUGCCUCAACAGAAGCAGCUCGAUUAUUUCUUCGUGUUUUUACCAUUGUAAUUAGCUUGUAGUGUUAUGUGUUUGAGGGAAAAAAACACAUAACAAUGAUAAAAGAGAGUUGUUAUUAUAUAUCAAUUUAUGCUAAAUCUAUAUUAAAUGCAAAUUCAUUCUAAUUAUUGACAAUCUAAUAAGUUUAUAAUCAACAUAAAUCACAUCGAUUAUAUUAUUUAUAAGUAAAUUAUAUAUUCCGCCAAAAUCAAUAUUAUAUCUAAAUCAAUAUUACAAAUUUAAAUGCUAGUAUUACGUAGAGUUAUAAGUUAAAAUAAUAAUAUUUAUUUUAAAUCAUGUUUAAAUAACAAAAAUAAACUNNNNNNNNNNNNNNNNNNNNNNNNNGCAAGAAAUAAUAACUUUUUAUAGAAAGUUUUUCUAAAAUAACAAAAUAUAUAUAUAUAGUAUAUUAGAUUAAUAUUUUUUUAUACAUAGAAAAUACUAACAUUAAAUUUUUCUAAAUGAUAAAUUUCACCUAUAAUAAAAAUAAAUGUUUAAUAAAUUUUAUCUAUAAUAAGAAGUUUAAAUAAUAAAAUUUAACUAUAAUAUCACAUGCAUUGUUAUAUUAACAAACAAAAUUUUAUUCUAUAUAUAAAAACACUGCUCAGCAUAUCAUUAGCAAAUUAUAUUCACAUUAUAAUUCUAAUUGUGUUACAUAUAUGUUUGAGUGUUUGACAUGGGUAAGCGAGAAUCAUCCGGAUCACCUCAAUGUAGCGAGAACAAGAGAGACACAAGAGAGGCUAGCAUUAAUGCUAUUGAUAACCAACUCUUACAUUAUCUGUACUUGAACCAUAUACCUCACAUACCCCAAUUUUUAUCUUCUAGGUACCACGGUUUUUAUACUGCUGCAGUAUAUUCUAACCAAUAUCCGACAACCAUGCAUCCAUCACUAUACAACAUAUUCCCACCAUCAUUUAUUGUAGGUCCAACUGUCACAAAUUUUCAGCCUCCUACUCUCUUAUAUCCUUUUCAAUCUACUAAUCCAAGAGAUACAGAUGAAAUUCUUAAAUUGCUAAAGUCUCCACAACAUCAUCAGUCUGACUCUGGUACAAAUAAAAAGGUAUCAAAACAAACAAGUGCACGCGAUAAGAAGAUAUCUACGGCCAAGAGAAGAAUUGUCUGAAAAAUUCAUAUUUGUCUGAAAAUAAGGUUAGUGUGAAUGCUGCCUCCAUUAAAGACAAAUUUUCAAAAAAUAAAAAAACUCCACCAGGAACCUCACACAAAUCUCUAACUGAGGAGCAAAAGGCACUCUUAAAAAAGAGUACACCAAGUGGAUAUUCUAUUAGCAUGCCUACCCUAAAUCAGAAAAAAAUCGAGCACAAUAAACGAAGAAUCGAUAGGCCAUCUGUAAGUUCUCAUAUCACAAGCAUUCGCAUCAAUCAUCUACGGUUACAUAACUUAGUGAUCUCACCAAUUUUUUUAUUUUGCAGUAGAUCCCGAUUUUAUUUAAGCCUCCUGCAUACAUGGAUUUGGAUGACUUAGAUAUUAAAAUGGCAACUUAUGUGUUUGUACCAAAUAAAAGAAGGUUAAAUAUCUCAUUAUUUAUCUAAUAAAAUUUAAAAAAUAGUACAAUAUUAAUGUGAUUUGUAUUUGUAGUGAUGAGGUAUUGGCGACAACAAAUAAAUUUAGCAGAACUCGUGACAAUUUCAAGUCAUUAAUUCCCAAGGAGUGGGUGUAUGGGGAUAUAAAUGCAUAAUUAAACUGCUAUCUGUAGCAUACUUUUAAUUCCUAAUAAAUUUAUUAUUUACCACAUAAGGGUUGGAUUUGGUGGCUACUAUGCUAACUAUACAGGAGAAAGAAAUAAGAUGUCAAACACACUGGUAUUUGCCAGCUGUGUUUUCGGUAUGCAAUGUCUUUUUCACGCUUGUUACCAUUUUUAUUUAUUUUAUCUUAUUACUUAAUUGGUGUCACUGACUUAGCCCCUAACUAUUAAAUUCAGCAAUUCAUACUGCAAUGUGAUACCAAAUUUGAAGUUUUGUUGAAAUAUUAUCAAAAAGAAUUUAUGGAAAAAGUUAAUGAAGGUCUAAAAAAGGUAUAUGAUUUAUUGUAUUUUUAAUUUUUUUAUUAUUUAAUGGCAUUUAUCUUUAUGAACUGAUCUAUACUUUUAUUUUAAAAAAAAUUGUAUCUAGUAAUAUUCUAAUACGUGAAAGUUGGUACUAGAUUUUUUUACCUGUCAACGAGAACAACACACAUUGGUAUCUGGUUAUUUUUUAUUUGUGCAAUCAUCAAACAAUUCUGCUAGGCUCCCUACCGAUUGCUUCAGAUAAAGAGCAAAAGAGAUCGAGUAUAGUAAAGCUGGUAAAUUAACUUUCCCCAUUUUUAUUUUUAUGACAUUUUUUUUAGGUUUCAAAUAUCGUCCUUUAUUUAAUUUUUUUCCCUAUAUGAAUAGGCAAAAUAUCUGGAACAUAUGCUCAAGUAUGACUCGUUCUAUAAAUACAACACUCCGUUCAGGCCAAGGAUACUUGAUUUUGCAUUUGUGGAUAUGCUAGAAACAGGAGAACAAGCUCCUGGCUCGUAAGGAAUAUCUGUAUUUGUAUUUUCCUCUUUCAAAUUUUUAUCUGGAUAAGCUAACCACAUCUUAUUUAACACAAUAAUGAUUGUGGGGUAUGGGUGGCAACCUGGAUGACAAACUACAGGAAGACGUAUAGUUAUACAAUAAAUGUAAUUUUUUUGUGCUAAAAAAAUAGUACUUCAAUUGCUAAUGUGUAUGGUUUUGUUGGUAACCUAAAAUAUUUAUAUUUUUCAGGUUAAUGAUGGUACAAGGAUGCGACUUGCGUUGGAUUUGAUUCUAAGGCCCCACAACUUGAUGCUGUAUAAUGUCAUUGACUCUGCUACUAGAAAUUACAAUAAGUAUAAACAAAAGGAGUCAAACAAAAAUUAAAAAAUUGUAAUUGUCAUGUAGUCAUGUUUAGUUUAUAUUAACUAUUAAGACUUGUUAGUUUCAUUUCUUUUACUUAAAAAAUUAUUAUGCACUAUAUUUUUUAUGGGCUCUUUUUGAAAAUUAAUGUUUUUUUCACUCUAACAUUUCGAUUCCUUGAACCACUUCUAUGUUGUAAGCUGGACAAGUAAUGGUUUUAAUCAAUGUUCUGAAAAUCGGUUCGAAUCGGCCGGUCGAACUGCUUGAAAAGUGAUCCGCUGUGAAAACGACUCGGGCAGAUGCUAAAACCGGCAUUUUGAAAAACCGAUAUAAGAACGUCGAAUCGGUCAAAAACCGGUCAGUCGAACCAAAUCGGGACCUGGCCGGUUUUUUGAAUUUUUGCAAAAAGCCAAAAACGGCGUCGCUUGGAUUGAAAAAACUUCAUAUAUGCAUUUUUAACAAGGUUCUGAAAAUCGGUUCAAACCGAUCGGUCGAAUCGUGAACCGGUGAGCAAGACGGUUCGGCUAGAAGCUAUAACCACUAAAUUAAAAAAUUGUUAUUGAACUGUCAAACCGGCCAGGAACCGGUCGGUCGAACCGAACUGGAACCCGACCGGUUUUCAAAAAAACUUCACCAAACGGUGCCGUUUUGUUCAUUAUGGAAACUCUAAUUACGCGAACCUCUUCCCCAAAAUCCAAACAAAGCACUCUGCCACUCUCUCAGUCACGCGACCAUCCUCCUCCUUCCUCUCCAACUCGAGCUCCUCCCUCACUGCCACACAUGCUUCGCCUAGCCACCGCUGUCGAAGCCGCCGCCUUGCUUGCCGGUCGUCUCCGGCGCUGUUCGAACUUCGAAGCCACCGUCGUCGCCGCAACUGGUCUCGCUUCGUUCCUCCAUCGCGCAACCACUGUCCCACCACGCCGCCUUUGUUCCACCGCGUCAGCCCCACCGUCGUGCUCCUUGUCCCGCUCUGUGCUCUGUCUUGAAGGAUCUAGUUCGUUCCUUAAUUGAUUGAGCAGGUAAGUACAUUCAUCUUCCCCCUUGACUAAGCCUGGUCGAGUUGGAUUUUUCACAACGAUACUACAAUUUCUGCUCUCUUUAGAAGUUUUUUUUAUUAUUUUUGUAACUGUAAUUGUUGUUUUAAACUUUUAAUUGGUUAGUUAAUUUAUAAAUUUUCAUCUUGCUUCUUCAAUCGUUGUUAUCAUUAGUCAUUACUGUGAUUUAGGAUUGUUAAUGAUCUUGAAUAUUGAUUCUGAUAUGCUCUGAUAUGCAAGGGUUCUGAGAAUGGUGACACUGUGAACUAUGCAACUGUGGUCAGGGAAGUGAAAGCAUAUUUGAAGAAAGGUGUUGCAGUGAAGGAAUUGUAGUAACAUAUUGCUGCAUUUCAUGUAUCUGCUCAGGAGAAGAUGAAUGCACUUCUUGAGGGAUUAUUUGAUGGCAUCGAAAAAGCGUUUGGAAAAGAAGCUACCAAGAGGAAGAAUCACCUUGCUGGUGCAGUUGCUGGAGAUGACGAGGGAUCGCAGCUGUUAUUGCUCAAUGCUGCUGAGGAGUUCUGUUACAAAAAAGGUAGCAAUGAGUUGAAUGAGGUUGCACUUAUUCUGAAAGCCCUCUAUGAUGUUGAUUUGGUGGAGGAAGAGCACGUCGUGCAUUGGUAUUCAAAGGGAUUGAAGGGUGAUAAGAAGGACUCUCAAAUAUGGAAGAAUGCUCAACCAUUCAUUGAUUGGAUUCGGAAUGCUGAAUCAGAAUCGAAGGAAGAAUGAGAAAAGUUUGUGCUUAGUUAUUGAAUGGAAUUGCCUCAGUUAUUGAAUUAGUGGAACCGCAUAUUCAAGGGUUUAAUGUGGAUUUCAGUGUUUCUGUUAAGGAUUUUCAUUUGUUGAAUUGGUUUCUCUCUUAGAGAUGAAUCAAAAUCAGAAUGUUGUCCAUCCAGGAGGGUUAAACUAGUUAGCUAUAUGUUAUAGAACUCUGGUUUUGGUCGUUUCUGCUUCUCUUGUAUAAUACUUAAGUGGUUCUUGAUGUUUUAAAUGGCUUGUACUUGCUUCUUAAGCAAAACCAUGAGAUAUAAAUGUAACACUGAUGUUAGUUUUGCAGUUUAUUGUUGCUUCUUAGUCUUAGGCAUUGCCAUAUUUGAAAGGAUAAAAAUACAAACAUGGAGAAGUGAAAGUAGUUGUAAAAUGGAGAUGCAUAUUUUUAUGGUUUUAGGAUUUCAACAAAACUAAACAAAAAGAAGCCAUUUUUUUCGAUUGACUAGGUUACAACUUACAACAGAACUUGAUAUUACAGCAGAAGUAGCAUCACCUUGUCCUAACUGCACACAACCAGUGACGCUCCUGAAGUGAUGAGAAAGCUUUUAUGUGACUUUGAUUGGUACCAACUUUGAAUAAAUGUUGUUGAAAUUUGGACUCUCUUUUAAAUGUUUUUUGGACUUGGUCUCAUCAUUCUGAAGCUGAGCAACUAAAUCCUUGCACAUGUACCACAAAGGUCAUCAUGUGUUUCACACCUUAAUUAUGCACUUUAGUAAAUGUUAGUAUGUACUAAUCAAGAAGUGAAUUUUUGGUAUCUAAAUAACAUUGAUAUUUGAACAAUAACCUUAUCUAAAUUAUUCAGGUCCCUCCCCAUUAAUCAAGCCAAUAAGUUUAAGAAAAUAAAUCACAUAAUAACAACAUUCACACAUUUCCAAACGAUUUAAGUAUACUACUAGUCCCCUACUUGUCAAUAAACUCAUCAUAAUGUAGUGGCAACAAUUCAGUAGUUUUUGGAUUAAUCCUUAUUGCUUCUAACUAGUAUUGUCCUAUCUGAAGAGGUUCAAUCUUGAUAAACAACUAAGUAUUGCCCUCAUUGCUUCUGCUGGUAUAUAACAAAUACUUCAAUCUUGAUAUAAAAAAAAUGAUAUUUUAUUAACCAACACAAUUUAGUGCAAUGCUACAACAGGUUUAGUGUGGUUUUAGUCAUCUUUAAGCCAAUGACGGAUCACAAAUACAACAAAACAAAUGCAAAUUCCUAUAGAACUCGAUAAACCAAUGAUCCUAACAAACAAAGAGGAUUGAUAUGCAUCCUGAAUAAAAGCAUUCCAUAGCCAAUACCACACAAGAGACAUAAUGGAACCAAUUGUAGCCCCAACAACCACCUGGUUCAUUGUAUGAAGUUGUUGUGAUACCCUUAGGUACGACUGGAAACACACAAGAGCAUGCAUCAGAAAUUCAAGCUACCAAAAAUAUUAGUUGCCAUCAUUACAAUAAAACUCGGAUAUUUCAAUGCUAAUUCAUAUGAAUAGCUUAUAUUAGAUAAAUUCAUAUUUUAAAAAUUUCUUUCCAAGUUUUAAUGGAUAAAUAUGUUUGUACAUUCUGAAUAUAAAUGCAAAUAAUACAAUGUUUGAAUAUAUAUAUAUAUAUACACUGAAUGUUUUCAAGCUUAUAUGCUUUCCUUCAUUGAGAUUAUUGCAAUAUGGAAACAAUAAUAUGACAUAAGUCAUCAACUAGACAAAAGGCAGACCUCAGUGUUAUGAGUAAGUCUAGAAUAAUAUUCAGUAAUUAUGGAACAGAUUGGAUGAAUAACAUGAACAAUUAUAUCAAGUCAUCUACUUGAUGCACCUAAUGGAAAGAGUUGAUGAAGAUGGUAAUAAGUGUAAUCAGUAUAACUUGAAGUGUAUGUCUCCUCCUCUGACCCCCUUUUAGAUCUCUCCUAAACUUAUUCAUAAAAUCAAACCCAUUGAAUCAAGAACACCACAAUAUGCAUUUAUCUCAUCCCUUCUGAUUCACUCACCAUAUAACAAGAUUUGGAGAUAUCAAUUAUCAGUUCACUUUUGAGAAGGUAAUAACAGAACAAGAUUAUAUUCAAAAUUAGCGUCAAUAACACAAUAAAAACAACGUCGUCAACAUUUGUAAUGAUACGGCCUUAUGAACCACCCCUAAUUUUUAUAAAUUGAUAGCACAAGCACUUGAAAGGGAGAUAUAAUCAGCAAUUUUAACAUGCAUAAAUUAAAAAUAUAAUACAUAGAUUAUAACUCUAUGCCUUUUUGUUGUUGAUGACAUCAUUCAAAAGUCCAGCCCAUGUAUUACUAUCACUGGGUCCACUAGAAUACGAUGAGACAUGGGAAAAUUGAGGAUAUGAUGUAAUUCCGGCAGUAGAAGGAUAUUGGUUGAAGUACGCCAUGCCAUUUGGAACAGGAUGAAAAGGAAUAGGGAGGACUCCACCAUAAGGUUGAUAAGGAUGGACCACUGGAUAAUUAUGCAUAGGAUAUUGUGGCAAUCCUGUUUUUUUGGUUGUGGCUGCAUCUGGAACUUCUGCCACUUCUAUUCUUGAUGUGUUGAUCUUAUCUUUUAAUGUCUCUUGAGUUAGAGUGAUUUCUUCAGUCUAAACAUAAAUAUAAUUUUUAAAUAAUUACGAUACAAAAUUUAAAAAAAUAAAUAAAGAAACUAGUCAGACAAGCUAGAGGCGAGUAAGACUUUUCUCAAAGUGUUGACCUCACUCACCCUUAAUCUCUCAGUUGCACUUAUGGUAUUGGAUUAAAAUAAUUUAAAUUCAAAUUAAGACUUUAAUUUUCCUUCUUGAAUUAUCUAAUAUAAAUUAUUAGAUAAGCGAAAUGUUACCUUCUGUCGACUUUUUUUGCCAUUUGCUCUAAUCUUUGGAGUCUCUGUCAAUUUAGAUACAGAUUUCUUGCUUCCACCACCCUUGAAUUUUUUGUAACAGAAUAAUAAGAAAUAAUAUAAACACUACGAGAAUAAUAUGUUGCAUAUUUGAAUUGAAAUGCCAAUAAAUUUGAUAGAUGGUAUAACAUAGACAAGUGCUUACUUUAAAAUUAUUGUUAUUGUGCACGGGUGUAUUUUUUACUGAUUUUGUGUUCUGAGAGGGAGUCUGUUUAUUGGCAUCACAUUCUUCAACCUGUUAAAAAAAUUAAAAAAUUGCUCAAAAUAUAGCAACUAAACAUAAAAAGAUUGAACAAAAUCUGUGUGCAGCAAGUAAAAGGCUAAAACAUUUUGAAAGGUCUUCCAUUAGAUUUCUUUUCACCGAUAAUAUAUUGUCAAAAGACAUUAUAUCCUUGUUACAAGCUACUAUCUAUUUCCCCCACAAAUAAAAUAUCUGAUACAAGAUGACAAGUAUCUGAAAAAAGUUUGAAAACCAAUAAUAACCUUUGACAAAUGUUAAAAAAAUAACUAAUUAAAAGCACUUGUAAAAUAGAAAUUAAUAAUAUUUUGCUAAAUUAGCUCCGGUACAGGUUGAAGUAUACAUUCUCGUUUAUCAAGUGAAGACUUUAACAAAAAGGAAAUGCAUAUAUAUUAUUUUCAAUCUUGCUGAAAACUUUAACCAAAGUUAAAUUAAACUAAACAUUAUUAAAAAUGAGGAUUUCAGCGAAGAAGGGGACAAAAGUACCUCUGGUUUGACAUAUUUAGGAUCUUCAAAGUGAAAGGUAAGCAUAAAGUAACUAAUUAAGAAAGGCAUUAUAUUAAUACCAUUGGUUCAUCUUCAGCAUUUGAGUAUUCGGCGGGGGAAUCCUCCUUGACGAGUAAUAGACAUGUCCUAACGAAAUGCCUGCUUGACUUACAAUGUGAACAUCUUCGCCUCUUUUGGCCUUUUGGAACCUUUUUUGGAGCACCUUUUGACUUCACAACAGCUGGAUCACCUAUUAGCGCUGACGUGGGGGAAAACCUCGCUUGUGCAUCACUUUUAUUUUGCACCUUCGAAAUUAGCUUAAGUAACUCACCUGAGAUUUUCCUAUAGUCGGCUGAAUUUUUUGAAGAAAUAUCACAAAGCUUCCAACAAAUUGAUACCAUUGCACCGCAUCUAAGUGUGGGCACUAUAUCAUCAGAGGGGUCUUGCUCGCCAACUGAGCAUAUAAAAUCACUCUUUGCAUCUCUUGUCCAUCUUUUCAGGAUAAGAGAUGUAGGGACGCAUUUUGCAUUGCGAUGUUUCAAGACCCCAAAGAUGUGGGAGCAUGGUAAUCCACGAGUCUCAAAUAGCCUGCACUCACACACAAACAGGUCCUUGUCUUUAUUGUAAGAUACUUUAAAUUGCCAUUGCUGAUUAAAAUACUCACUCGUGUUGUACUCAACAAUGUCUCCACUAUUUGGGCAUUCAGUCACAUUUAAGGCACCUGCUGCUUCUAUCUCAUCUUUCACAAGUUUGAAAAUAUUUCUAGUAUAAAGUUCAGCAGCUUGUUUCUCAAAACUUUCCAAGCACGUAGUCAAAACAGGAAACUUAUAAAAGAUUUCAAAGUCAGCAAUAAGAUGGUUGUUUCGGUAAUGCCUUAGUACUUCACUAAAUUUAUGCAUGAAUUCAAGGAGACUGGUUUUGCUGUCAACAUAGUUCUUCAAUAAUGAAUGAAUUCCCUCACACUGUGAUGUAGUUCUUAUGCGGCCAAAGAAGUGCUCCCUCAAAUAUGCGGUAGCCCACUUCAUUUUGUCAUUAUAAAUGCCCUGGACCCAUUCAUUCUCGGCAAGUCCGUAUUUGGAUAUGAUCUCGCUCCAUCUCUCUUCAAAUAUUUGUACAGUAAACUGUCCAUACAAUAAUACAUUAAAAUCGUCCCAAAAAUGCUUAUUUUUUAUAUUCUGUACCGCAUUACAAUGGAGAUGCCAUGCACAAAGGCGGUGUGGUAUACCAGAAAAUACUUCUAAGAUAGCCUCUCUCAAAGCACGGUCUUUGUCUGUCACAAUGCCUCCAGGUAGUUUUCCUGACAUGAUUUCCAAAAAUACCUUCAGUGCCCACUUGAAAGUUUUGGACCUUUCAUCUAAGUGCAGGGCGCAUCCAAAGCUAGUUGUUUGGCCAUGGUGGUUGGUCCCUGAAAAUAUGAAGGGCUUGUUGUAGACAUUUUUCUUGUAAGUGGUGUCAAAAGCGAGUACAUCACCAAAACAUUCAUAAUUAACAACACUUUCUCCAUCAGCCCACACCAAAUUAUCCAACCUACCAUCCUUUAAGGUGAACUUUCCUAGAAAUAACGGGUCACUGUCUGCCUUGAACAACAGAUAGGCCAAUGCAACAAAUACAUCACCGUCUUUCACUUUGCCACGCUUAGUCUUACUAAUGUGGUUAUGUAAGUUUUUGCUGGUAAAACCCACUUUAUCAUAUCCACCUUUUUGGGAAACCAUGUAACCCAUUAUGUGGCAAGUUUUAACACCACAUGCUCGCAAGCUAUCUGCUUGUGUUUUAUCGGCCUCGUCAAGCCCACGAUUUGCGGUAAUAAGAUGUCUGUACUUAGGUGGACACAGUGGAUGAUUGUGUUCACUCUCAAAGACAUUGACUUUCCACUUACCCGUUCUAUAGUGACGAAUGAACCGAAUCCUCGCCCUGCAGUUGACACGAGUAAUUGCCCUAUGCUCCCUUUACCGAUUGUCCCUUUUAAGGUGCUUCCAAUGUCUUUUUCCUGCUUUAUUGCAAACCAACUGUCUUGUAUUAAUGUUACCAUUAGCAUCCACCAUCUUCAAGUCUUUUCGGGACACAAAUCCAUAGCACUUGACAUAUUUGGCGUAAAAUUCACAAACUUGAGAUUCUGUAUCAAACACCAAUCCCCAUAUGUCUUCGAUGGUCAAAUCAGUUAUCAACUUUUCAAAACCAUCAGCAUUAAUUAUAUCUGCCUCUGCUUCAUCUACAGUUACAUCCACCAUAUCAUCACUUUCAUCGGAACUGCACUCAUACUCAACACUUAAAUCCUCAGAUUAAUCACCAUCCUUAUACGACUCUUUGCCAUCAUUCUCCAUGACUGAACUUAAAAUUUUAACAUGUUAGGUACUAAAUAAAUGCUAGGAGAAUGGAAUAGGCAAAAUGAACUCAAUUUUUUAUGAUUAAAAUUAUUGGUCAAUCAAAUUCUAUGAAACCUAAGAGCUAUUAGUGCAUAAGAAUGUUAUUUAUAUGACAACCAAGAGUUACGGAAAAAAAUUCUCUGACUUAUUAACUUCCUAUGGUCUUUCUUUUGAAAACAAGAAUACAACAGAUUCAAAUAAAUAUGAGCACAUGAAUGAUUUGCCAUAGUUUUGUGUGAGGCAUUUCAUUUGUUCAUGAAAGUAUGAAAUAAAGUCAUUAAAUUGAUUUGCCAUAGUUGUGUUUAGUAUGAGGGGUUGAUAGAAUGCUUUUGAGAGAUUGUGAUUAGGUGGUUACACAUUCUGUUUUUUCCUCCAGUUUUUUAGUUUAGGGUGGUAGUUAUCUUUUCAGUAUAGCCUUGUAAGUACUAGGUUCUGGUGGUGAACAAAUCUAUAUAUUUAAAAAAGUGGAACUUGUAUAGUGAAAUUUUGAUG